rnacentral:lncRNA from 1 species
GGUAGCAAGAAAGGAAUCCUUUCGUUGCCUCGAAUUUUCUCUUAAGCUUAAUCUAACUGUUUCGAUAAUUAAGUGUGAAGGUAUUUGGUAUCUUGUAUUUGCUUAUGCUUCAAAAGUUUUUAGUUUGCUAACUCUAUCCUAUAGUCUAGUUCAUUAAAUCUAUAGCCUUUAAUCUAAUUGGUUGAGCAUGAGCCAUAAACAUGGAUGCAGUUUAUCGAGAAAUCCUACUCCAAAAGAAAAAGAAAAAGAAAAAGAAAAAGAAAAAGAAAAAGAAAAAUUCCACAAGAAUAAUCUGCCAUACUCUCCUCAACAAGGUUAAAGAUCUUCUAUAAUUUUUUUAAUAAAUUUAGCUCUUGCUUAGGUAAAAAACUGACUUCCUUAUCAUCUAAAAUAAACCUAGAGGCCGUUACCAUUAGAGUUAUCCAAAAUUGUCCUUGUCCUUCUCUAUGGACAUUUAAUAGAGAACAAUCAAGGAAUCAUCAUCCACUAUAAGGUUCAUAAUGCUCAUGGAACACUUAUUUGGGACCUCGGGAGAUUGGGCUUUACGUUGAAAUGGCCAAGCUAAUGCCAAUUGUCUUAGAGUUGACAUGAACCAUGUUACUUAUGUGAUCUUUGGUUCUUUGGCCUUUUAACUGGUGGAACUUCUUUUAUUGGAUGAAGGAUCUUCUUAUGCCCAUUGUGUAUGAGCAUAUGCAUUUUUGUAGCCAUCAUGUUGAACCUUUCUAUAAAAAAGCCAAGUCUUCCAAGUUACAUGACCAUAGUUUUAAAAGGCUCAUGGCGCACCAAGGUGCAAAGUAGUCCUGGAGCUUGAGGCGCAAGGUGCACUUAAGGCGCAGGCUUUAGUGAAGUGAGGUGCAUCCUAAUUUACAUAUAUUUUUCCUCUAUUUUUUUCCUAUUUUUCCUCUUUUUCUUCAUCUUCUUCACUUCUCCACUGCACGGUUGAGGCUAGGGCAAAAUUUGGGAGAGUUGUCGGAUUGAAAACAACCAGAAAAGGGGACUGGAAGGGAAAACAGGGCCAAAAUGGCGUCGUUUUGGUCCUAAAAAUAAAAAAUAAAAAAUUAGGGCUUCUCUCUGCCCUCUGCAACCUGACUCCGGAGAAGAAGAGAAAGAGAAGGAGGUAGGGGAUCGAGGCGCACUUGUGGACCACGUCGCGCCUUGCGCACCUAAGCGUCGCCUUCGUGAAGGGGCGUCACGCCGCCCGGAGCCUAGGCGCACCUUUCACAACUAUGCAUAUGACUCACUUUUAUUGGUAAGACCUCACACCAUAUAGACUCUUUAAAGUCCUUACCAAAAAAGGAAUGUGACCAAGCAACAAAAGCUUAUUGGAAUUGAGGUGUCGUUAUCCUAUGCUAUUUGGAAUGGAUUUGAAUGUUUCUCUAUUUUAAUGUUAGCUUCUCAACAAGCUCUUGCAAAGCUAUGUUCCAAUUGCUACCUCCAUCAAUGAUCAUGGUACAUAACCACCGUUGGCAAGAGAUAUGUGUAUGGAAAAUGCUAGAAUCGCCAAUCUUCUUCUCUUUUCACCUUUGGGACAACUAACAAAGGUCACACUACAAGGCUAUGACCUUACGUCAUAUCAUCGUAAUAAUCACAUUUGUCACUAAGUUCAUCUUCAUUGUUGGUCUUUUCUUUUUUUGGAUGAUUUUCCAAUUUAGAUUUUGGUUUUUCAAAACAAAAGUGUAAACCUUUGCUUAGGUACACAUCAUAAUGAUCGUACCCACCACACUUAAAGCAAAAAGGAGUCUCACCUACCUUUUUGUCUCCAAUACUCGUGACGUUCUACCCUUAUUAGAGUCUCUAUUAGCCACAUUUGAAGCUUGUUGAUUAUUUUCCUUACCAUUCACAUGGUUAGAAGUUUGGGAAAUUGUUGUGCUAAGUGGUUUGCUUGUUGUUUGGUUGGAGAAAGUACUCCCAAUUUGUGACUUGGAUGUUUGGAAGCCUGAAACUUAAGCCCUUCUAUUUUAAGCGCUAGUUGAUAAACAUCAUCCAUGGUAUAAGUGUAUGCAAUUAUCCACUCAAGUUGAAUAUCCAUUUGUAGUCUAGCGUUAUAAAGGGCUGUAAGUUGAGCCUCACUUUCUCGCACUUGAUUCCAAAUGCUCAAUUCAUGGAAGUUUUUUGUAUGUUCUUCAACUCAAUACCUUGUUUGAGAGAAAACAAAUUUUGUGUUCGUAGUCAAUUGGGAGAAAGUGCUCCUUCAUCUUCAACUUCAUCUCGUCCCAUGUAUCUAUAGGUGGUUGUCUUGUUCUACAAAGUUGAUUCUUAAUAUUAUGCCACCAUAGACAUGUUGCUCCUUUCAACUUUGCCUUCACAAUACGAAUUUUUCUAUUUUCGGGCAUAGCAUAUCAACAAAGUAUUCUUCCAUUGACAUAAUCCAAUCAAGAAAAGCUGUUGGAUUUAACUUUCCAUAAAAUUUAGCAAUUUCAAGGUGUACCUUUUUUUUUGUCAAAUCUCAUCUUGAAUAAAUAGUUUGCCCCUUCUUUGAUUUCCCAUCAUCAAAUUGCCUUCUUCAUGUGGUCUACUAGGCGAUUGUUUGAAUUCAUGACUUGCAAUCUUAUCUUCAAUUGGUCGUUUUUCUUGGCUCUUUUGUAGUAACUUCAUGAUCUCAUCAAGUUUGCUAUUUAAUUGUAUUAUAGCAUUUUGAUAGGAUUGUUGUGUGGCAGAGAUUUUCUCUAAGUGUGUUACUUACAAAAAAAAAAAAAAAAAAAAGAAGAUGUCCUCUAUGUGUGUUGUAGCAAUAUCUUGAUUUCUAGAAGUAUUUUUUGAACUCAUGCUUGCAUAAGUUACUUCACUCCUCAAUUGCACAGACCUUCACACCAAGGACUUUUAAUCUAAUACCAAAAAUGAUGUAGGACAACCUUAGGAUGAUUGCCUACAAUUAAAUAGGUGGGCUAGGGUUUUUAUUUUUUAGGUUUAAGGAAAGGAACAAGGGAUAAAGUUUAUGGUAGAGAAAAAUAAAAUAAAAAAUAUAGAGAAGGAAGAUACAAAGAAUAAGAGAUAGAAACCUUAGAGUUUCACUAAGAUCUUUUAGGCAUCUCAUUUAAAAAAAAAUCAAUAGUUUGACAAUUGAGAAUUGCAAUACUUGCAAAAAAACUAAUAUUAUAUAAUCACCAAUUAAUUCUUUGGUUUAUAUCACUUAACUUUAUUUAUAGGUUUCUCUAAGAAAUUUAUAGUUUAUUAAGAUUUUAAUAACCUAUUAUGAAUCUAAUUCUAAUUCUCCUAUAACCUAAUUAGUUACUCUUAAUUUGACUCUAAUGAAUACUAAUCUUAAUUUAAUUUCAAUUAAUACUAAUCCUAAUUUAAUUCCAACCAAUGCCCAUCCUUAUCAAGGGGUUAAUUUGAAACCAUUCAUCUUCUUUAAAAUGCUCCUUACAAUGUUAAACCUUGAACUAUUUCAGAAAGGUUAAACUAAAAAGAUCCAAUAACUCCACCUAGAAUUCCUUUCUAAGUGUGACAUUAUUGGGACCAUGCACUGAAGUAAGUUGAAAGACCAUAAAUUUCCAAACCUCUAAAAAGAGAGAUGAGAGAGAGCGAGGACGAUCAUGUAAGCGAAGGCGGAGAAGGGGAAAGCCGGGCGGAGAAUCGAGGGAAGAGGAAGGGAAGUAGAUUCGUGGUGGAAUCGAAGGUGUUCGAAGUAGAAGCUGAGGAGAGGAAUGGCAAGAGCCAUGCCAUUAUCUCGGAAAGCAAGGGAGGGUUAGUGUCUUGGGUCCGUCUGGGGCUGGCGAGUGUGGGACUGUUCAUAGAAGGGCUGAUCCAGUGCACGAAGGAUGGGAAAGAUGGAAGAUGGGAGAAGGGCUGGAAAGAAAAAGGGAGGAUCUAUUCCCUGGUGAGAGAGGCUAAUAGGGUCGGGAGCUUCAUCCGCCUAGGGGUGACGGACCUGGAGAAAAGGAGAUUUGGUAUCUGUAUACCAAAAGGGAAAGGGGAAAAAGGAGGAUGGGUUUCUAUGGUGGAGUCCUUACUGAGGGUAGGAUUUCGGCGCGAGGAAAAGGAAGUUGAUCGAGGAGUAAGGGUUUUUGGUAGGUCGUAUGUGGAAGUGGCCAGGGGCUCAGAGCUCAGGGAUACUUCAAGGGUCAGAGUAGAGACAAAGGAGGAGGAAAUAAGGAACAAUGUGAGCAUAUUGAAGCAAUGCCUGAUAGGUAAUUGGAACCCUAAAUCAGCACGAGAAGAGGACCUAGCGAGAUUGGGGUGGUCAGUGGCAAGAGCGUGGGGAUUGAAAGGUAAAUUAGGCCUGGCUAGACUGGGAAAGGGCUAUGCUCUGUUGGAAUUUGAGACGGUGGAAGAAGCCAAGAGGGUUCUCGCCUCGGGGGUGAGAUCAGUGGGAGGGACCCAACUGGGUUUGGAGAUGUGGAGCCCGAGGUUUGGAUGCUCUGCAGAGGAUGAAGAUAGGAAAGAAGCUUGGGUGAGGAUCCUGGGUCUUCCAAUCUCGCUGUGGGUGCCGUCGAUCUUGAGGAGAGUGGUGGAAGAGUGCAGUGGGUUCCUAGGCAUCGAUCCUCUAACGGAAAGGAAAGAGGACUUGGAAUGGGCAAGGAUCCAGGUAAAGCUGAAUGGAGGGGCCUUGCCGAGUUCGAUGGAGAUUGGGGUGGAGGGGGAGGUAUACGUCGUAUCUUUGUGGUGGGAGAUUCCGCCGGCAAUAAGGAAAAAACAGGGGGAUGGCCGUGAUGAAUUUGGGCAGCAGAGAGGGGAGGUUAGGGGUGAUGGUGAUCCACGCGCGGGAUGGCGUGUGGGAGAAAAGCCGGGCGUUGGACCCAAGGAACAACGUCGGUCAGAGGAAGUGACAGGAGAGCAGGUGGAAGGGGAGGGUGGGGUUGGGUUUGAAAACUGGACCCAUCUCGGGCAGGUGACCCGACAGAGUUCUAGAUCCGCGGGCGAUGGGUCGAGUUCAUCCGGAUCAGGGCUUGGCCCCGUGGGCCUGAAGCGGGACUAUGGGCCAACUACGCAAGGCCCGCUUCUUUCUAAAGGGGUUGAAUUGGCUGCAGAUGGGAUAGAGCGUGGGCCGGCUGAGGGACGGGCCUCCGAAGGGCUGGAGCUCCUGUCCCAUGGGCCUACUAUUUCGGUUGGGGGCUAUCUGGGCCAAUUGCAGACUAAAUACAUGGGCAUAGUGUCACAAGCUGAUCCAAAUGAGCCUCCCCAUGACCUUAUAUAGAGCUAGGAAGCUUCUGGAGACUCCUAGAGUGGGAAGAGUGUGGAAGGUUCUAGAGAAGUCUGGAGGAAUCCACACAAUUCUACACCAUGGUAGAAGGCACGAGAGGAGUCCGGGGCUUUCUAGAGAAAUCUAGAAGACUCUUGUAUAUACUUGUAUAUAGGCUUGUACCUAGAAUGAUGUAGGACAUUCUAGAAUAGUCUUGAGUUGUAAGGAACCCUCCAAGGUUCUAGAGAGUUCCAUUGGUGCCUAUAAAUAGGUGAGGGCCUCAUUUGGCCAAGGCACCAAACAAGUGAGCAUCCAAGCACUUGUAAAUGCUUUCUUGAGUUAAUAAGAGUUUCCAUUCUUUAAGGAGUUGCCUACUAAGCUCUUAAGCUUUCGAGUCACGAGUGUCUUAGCUGAGCAAGCUAAGCGUUGGGGAUCAAGGCUGACUUAGCAAGAUCAAGCGUCUUGACUUGCCUAAGUGCCGCACGAGCUUAGUGAACGACUAAGUCCGUGACAAGUGGUAUCAGAGCGUGGCUACGAAGCGGGCAUAACGGAAGCAUGUCGGGCUCUAACGUGGAGGAGACUAGCGAACAAACCCGUGGGAGGGAGGCCGAGCCUACUGCAAGGGGCAGGGGCAGAGGUAAGAAGGAUACAUCUCGUGAUGUUGUUGCCAACAUGGAGGCAAGGUUAGCCAAGGUGGAGCUAGCCAUGGCAGACACCCGGGAAGGGGUGGACUUGAUCGAGCAAGGCAUGGAGAAGGGCUUAGAGGAUCUAAGGGAGCAGAUCCAAGACCUUCGCGAAGGGGUGCUGGUCUCGCAAGUUCAGUCGGUGUCACACGAGGAGUUCAUGUCCUUCCAAGACAAGGUCAUGAGCAUGUUCGCUAGUGUGGAGUCAAGGAUGGAGGCCUUGACUGCACGAGUGGAGGCCCGAGACCAAGAGAUUCGACAAGAGUUGACCAUCUAUAAGAUCGCUGUAUCAGCACGAGUCAUGGCCACUCAUGAGGCACCAAGGGUGGAGGUGCCCAAGCCACACACGUUCAAUGGCAAGAGGGAUGCCAAGGAGCUAGAUAACUUCUUGUGGCACAUAGAGCAUUACUUUGAGGCAAUUGCAUUGACGGAUGAAGCCACUAAGGUACGCACCGCGACCCUUUACCUCACUGAUAAUGCUACUCUAUGGUGGCGUCGACGAUUUGCCGACAUAGAGAGAGGGACGUGCACCAUAGACACAUGGGAUGCCUUUAAGAAAGAAAUCAAGAGGCAAUUCUAUCCCGAAGACGUGGCUUACCUAGCAAGGAAGAGUUUGAAGCGUCUCAAGCACACGGGCUCGAUCCGUGAGUAUGUCAAAGAAUUCUCUACUCUUAUGCUUGAGAUACCUAACAUGGCUGAGGAGGAGCUACUGUUCAACUUCAUGGACAACUUGCAAAGCUGGGCCGAGCAAGAGUUGAGGAGACGUGGUGUCUAAGACUUAGCCACGGCCAUGGCAGUAGCCGAGUCCUUAGUAGAUUAUAGAAGGGGAGACUCCUCCAAGCCCAAGUCACCAUCCAAGGGUAACCAGGCCAAAGGUGGGGGAGACAAGAGGUCGCAGGGCCACACUCCUAAGGAAGGAUCAAGCAAAGGCCCUAGUGGCAAGGAUGACAAAGGCAAAGACAAGCGAAAGGAGUUCACGCCCAGGACCAAUUGCUUCUUGUGUGAUGGUCCGCACUGGGCACGAGACUGCCCUAAGAGGAAGGCUUUAAAUGCUAUGAUCGAGGAAAAUGAGCAGGAGGGCGAUGCUAAAGUGGGAUCGUUGCAGCUCCUAAAUGCCCUUAAGGCCAAGCCGAUGCCUAAAACGCCUCAAAGCAAAGGGCUGAUGUAUGUGGAGGCCCUUGUGAAUGGAAGGCCACCAAGGCCCUGGUGGACACAGGUGCCACUCACAACUUUGUCUCGGAGGAUGAGGCAAGAAGGUUGGAGCUCCAAGCAUCCAAGGAAGGAGGAUGACUCAAGGCAGUCAAUUCAGCCGCUAAGCCAUCACAUGGAGUAGCUCGCGGGGUGACUAUGCACAUCGGCUCGUGGGAAGGAAGGGUCGACUUCACAGUGGCACCCAUGGACGACUUCAAGAUGGUGCUAGGAAUGGACUUCCUACAGAAGGUCAAGGCCGUGCCACUACCUUUCCUACGCUCAAUGGCUAUCCUAGAGGAGGAGAAGCCGUGCAUGGUCCCUACGGUCAAUGAAGGUACGCUCAAGACCCCUAUGCUAUCCGCUAUGCAAGUAAAGAAGGGGUUAAAGAAGGAAGAGGUGACCUACCUCGCCACCCUGAAGGAAGAGAAGGAUGAUGGGUCGGGAGAACCCAUGCCUAAGGAAAUUGAGGGGGUCCUUGAUGAAUUCAAGGACGUAAUGUUGCCCGAGUUACCUAAGAGACUUCCUCCUAGGAGAGAGGAAGAUCAUAAGCUUGAGUUGGAGCCGGGAGCCAAGCCCCCUGCUAUGGGGCCAUAUAGGAUGGCACCACCCGAGUUGGAGGAGCUAAGGAGACAACUCAAGGAGUUGCUGGAUGCGGGGUUCAUCCAACCAUCCAAGGCUCCCUAUGGCGCGCCGGUUCUAUUUCAGAAGAAGCAUGAUGGGUCCCUACGAAUGUGCAUAGAUUACCGGGCACUCAACAAGGUGACGGUGAAGAACAAGUAUCCCAUCCCGCUCAUUGCUGACUUGUUCGAUCAACUUGGAAGGGCAAGGUACUUCACGAAGCUGGACUUAAGGUCAGGCUACUACCAAGUCAGGAUUGCGGAGGGAGAUGAGCCGAAGACUACAUGUGUGACCAGGUAUGGCUCAUAUGAGUUCUUAGUGAUGCCUUUCGGACUCACCAAUGCCCCAGCAACGUUUUGCACCCUCAUGAACAAGAUCUUCCACCCAUACUUGGACAAGUUUGUGGUGGUGUACUUGGAUGACAUAGUCAUCUAUAGUAACACUCUAAAGGAGCAUGAAGAGCACUUGAGGAAGGUCUUUAAGAUCUUGAGGCAUAACAAGCUAUACGUGAAGAAGGAGAAGUGCUCGUUUGCUAAGGAAGAAGUGAGCUUCCUAGGGCAUCGCAUCAGAGAUGGCAAACUAAUGAUGGAUGAUAGCAAGGUGAAAGCCAUCCAGGAGUGGGAUCCACCAACCAAGAAGAAUAAGGCAUCGGAAUGGGAUGAAAGGUGCCAACAAGCCUUUGAGGACCUGAAGAAGGCUGUGACUGAAGAGCCAGUGUUGGCACUACCCGACCACACCAAGGUCUUUGAGGUACACACAGAUGCCUCAGACUUCGCUAUUAGGGGAGUCCUUAUGCAAGAAAGGCACCCAAUCGCAUUUGAGAGUCGCAAGCUAAACGACGCAGAGAGGCGUUACACGGUGCAAGAAAAGGAGAUGACCGCUAUCGUCCACUGCUUGCGCACUUGGAGGCAUUAUCUGCUAGGGUCUCACUUCAUAGUGAAGACCGACAAUGUGGCCACUAGCUACUUCCAGACGCAGAAGAAGCUGAGUCCUAAACAAGCUAGGUGGCAAGACUUCCUGGCCGAGUUCGACUAUACGCUGGAGUAUAAGCCGGGAAGUACUAAUCAUGUGGCCGACGCCCUAAGCCGCAAAGCCGAGCUAGCGUCUAUGACGAGUCAACCCCAAGGAGACAUAAUAGAUCUUCUAAGGGAAGGAUUGCAACAUGAUCCAGUGGCUAAGAGCCUCAUCGCCCUGGCUCAUGAAGGGAAGACCAAGCGGUUUUGGGUGGAGGACGGCUCACUCUACACAAAAGGGAGACGACUCUACGUGCCUAAGUGGGGGAACAUAAGGCGGAACCUGAUUAAGGAGUGUCAUGACACCAAGUGGGCAGGGCACCCUGGGCAACGACGCACUAGGGCACUACUCGAGUCGGCUUACUAUUGGCCUCAGAUACGGGACGAGGUUGAGGCCUAUGUGAGGACUUGUCUUGUGUGCCAACAAGACAAGGUGGAAUAGCGACAACCUAGAGGCCUGUUAGAGCCACUACCUGUAGUAGAACGUCCAUGGGACAACAUCACCAUGGACUUCAUCAUCGGGCUACCUAAGUCGGAGGACAGCGGCUCUAUCAUAGUGGUGGUGGACAGGUUCUCUAAGUAUGAAACUUUCAUAGCAGCCCCGACCGACUGCACUGCGGAAGAGACGGCGAGGCUAUUCCUAAAACACGUAGUCAAGUAUUGGGGGUUGCCUAAGUUCAUCAUCAGUGAUCGCGAUCCGCGCUUCACUGGGAAGUUUUGGACGGAGCUCUUCAAGCUUAUGGGUUCGGAGCUUCACUUCUCCACAAGCUUUCACCCAUAGACGGAUGGGCAGACUGAGAGGGUGAAUGCCUUACUGGAGCUCUACCUAAGGCACUUCGUAAGUGCCAACCAGAAGGAUUGGGCCAAGUUACUAGACAUAGCCCAGUUCUCAUACAACCUGCAAAGGAGUGAGGCGACCAAUAAGAGCCCGUUCGAGCUAGCUACGGGACAACAACCGUUAACUCCUCACACCCUAACAAUUGGCUACACGGGGAGAAGUCUAGCGGCUUUCAAGUUCGCGAAAGGGUGGCAUGAGCAAGCUGACAUAGCCCGUUCAUACUUGGACAAGGCCGCUAAGAAAAUGAAGAAGUGGGCUGACAAGAAGCGACGACACACGGAGUACAAGGUCGGAGACAUGGUACUUGUCAAGCUCCUUCCUCAACAAUUCAAGUCCCUAAGGCCGAUGCAUAAGGGCCUUGUAAGGAGGUAUGAAGGACCCUUCCCCAUACUUGGGAAGGUCGGCAAGGUGUCCUAUAGAGUCGAGCUGCCCCCGAGGUUGAAGAUUCAUCCUGUCUUCCACGCAAGCUACUUGAAGCCCUAUCACGAAGACAAGGAUGAUCCAAGUCGAGGGUUGUCUAAAAGGGCACCUACAGCGGUCGUGACCUCCUAUGACAAGGAGGUAGAACACGUCCUCGCAGACCGGGUCAUCAGGAGACGAGGGGUACCUCCUGCUACGGAAUACUUAGUGAAAUGGAAGGGACUACCAGAAAGUGAGGCUAGCUGGGAGCCAGUAGAGGCACUAUGGCAGUUCCAAGAACAGAUCGAGCAGUUCCGAGCAGAAGGCGUGACGAGGACGUCUGCGGCAUAGGUGGGGGAGAGUGUCACAAGCUGAUCCAAAUGAGCCUUCCCAUGGCCUUAUAUAGAGCCAGGAAGCUUCUGGAGACUCCUAGAGUGGGAAGAGUGUGGAAGGUUUUAGAGAAGUCUGGAGGAAUCCACACAAUUCUACACCAUGGUAGAAGGCACGAGAGGAGUCCGGGGCUUUCUAGAGAAAUCUAGAAGACUCUUGUAUAUACUUGUAUAUAGGCUUGUACCUAGAAUGAUGUAGGACAUUCUAGAAUAGUCUUGAGUUGUAAGGAACCCUCCAAGGUUCUAGAGAGUUCCAUUGGUGCCUAUAAAUAGGUGAGGGCCUCAUUUGGCCAAGACACCAAACAAGUGAGCAUCCAAGCACUUGUAAAGGCUUUCUUGAGUUAAUAAGAGCUUCCAUUCUUUAAGGAGUUGCCUACUAAGCUCUUAAGCUUUCGAGUCGCGAGUGUUUUAGCUGAGCAAGCUAAGCGUUGGGGAUCAAGGCUGACUUAGCAAGAUCAAGCGUCUUGACUUGCCUAAGUGCCGCACGAGCUUAGUGAACGACUAAGUCCGUGACAAUAGGCUCUGAAGAGGAUCUGGGCCUAAAGAUGGAAAUGGAAUUCAUCAAGUGUCGUGAGAAGGAGAUUAGUGGGAAGUAGAUGCCGGCUCUCUAGUGCUCCAUGGCAGAGAGAGAGAUCGUGGAUGAAGCCUUCAGGUAUGGGUCCUCUUCAAAUCUAAGGGUUGGGGAAUCCUCUCUCUUUUCUUCUUCUCUUUUUGGUCGGACUCCGGAGAGGGAGUUUUGCGACCACUCUGGGGAUUUAAGGGAGAGCCGCCAGAAAGAAAAUAAGAUGGAGCUUGCAGCUACAGGGGGGGAUACAACGAGUAGAGAGGGCUGUUGGGACCUGAUUGAAAUCAAUUGUGACGCUUUAGAGGUUCAAAACCCGGAAUGGUCUCCAAUUCUGUCUGGGCCCCAGGUUCUAAGGAGCGAGAAGGAGACUAAUUGGGAGGAAAGUAGCUUGGCUAAGUUUAGCAAGCUGUUGGGAUUUUCAAUAGAAGUCCUGGAGAGGGAAAUUUUGGAUUUUUUGUCCAAAAUUAGGAAAAGACGGGAAAUGAUACAUAGCAAAGGGUUACUGGAGAAAUCAAAAUUUGAGAGGGAGCUCAAAAGGCUGGAAUGUUCAGUCAAAUAUAAGGGGAAGGACAAGAAGAACAAUCAUUUAAAAAGUAGAGGGGGCCAAUUAUUGUUGGGUUAAUGAAUCUCAAACUGAUGAGUUGGAAUGUGAGGGGUGCAAAUGACGUUAAUAAAAGAAGGAUUAUUAAGUCUGUGGUUAGAAAACAGAAGGUGGACUUGGUUUGUAUCCAGGAGACAAAAAUUCAGUUAAUGAUUGAUGGGGUGGUGAAAAGUUUAGGGGUGGGGAGAUUCUUUAGAUUGGAGAACUCUUGAAGCUGCUGGAGCAGCUGGAGGUGUGUUGAUUUGUUGGGACAAAAGGUCCUUGGAAAUGGUGGAUUGAGAGGAGGGCCAAUUCUCAAUCUCUUGUAAAUUCAGAAUUGUGGACAAUGGGGCAGUCUGGGUGUUCACAGGUGUUUAUGGCCCUUUCACCAAAGAGGAUAGGGAGUGUCUUUGUGAUGAACUUGGAGCAGUCAGAGGUCUUUGGGGUGAUCCAUGGUGUGUAGGGGGAGAUUUUAAUGUUAUUCUCGCUCAAGAGGACAGAAGCAGGUAAGGGAGGGUGACUCCAGCUAUGAGGAGGUUUGCUCAGGUUAUGGAUGACCUUGAGCUAAUCGACCUUCCCCUUCAAGGAGGCUUUUUCACGUGGAGUGGGGGGCUUCAUAAUCAAGCCUGGGCCAGGCUAGAUUGAUUUUUGGUUUCUCCCAGAUGGCUUGAACAGUUCAGCAAUGUGACUUAGAAGAGAUUAUCUCGGCCUAUAUCAGAUCAUUUUCCAAUCAUAAUCGAGGGGGGUGGCAAAAGAAGAGGCCCUUCACCUUUCAGGUUCGAGAACAUGUGGCUGAAAGUGGAAGGGUUUAAGGACCUCUUGAGGAGUUGGUGGCAGGGGAUGUCGGUCAGUGGUAGGGCUAGCUAUAAGUUGGCAACAAAACUGAAGGGGAUUAAACAAAACUUAAAAGUUUGGAACAGGGAGGUGUUUGGGCACUUGGAGAGUAAUAAAUUGGCUGCCUUACAGCAUGUGGACUAUUGGGACCAAGUGGAAAGUGAGAGGAGUCUGUCAGAGGAGGAAUUUUCCAGAAAGAAAGAAGCGAAAGAAGGCUAUGCUAAGUGGGUUAAGUUGGAAGAGAUUCACUGGCGACAACUCUCAAGGGAGCUGUGGCUAAGAGAAGGGGAUAAAAAUAUGGGGUAUUUUCAUCGAAUGGCAAACGCGCACUGAAGAUGGCAUACCAUGGAAAGAAUAAAAAUCAAUGGGGCCUGGCUGUCAGAGGAGCAUGCAGUUAGGACCGGAAUAGUAGACGCCUUUUGUCGGUUAAUAAUCGGAAGACUCGGAGUGAAAGGCAGAUAUAGGGGGGUUAAAUCUGAAUCAGAUUAGCCAACAAGAGGCGGACAUCUUGGAGCUGCCAUUCAUGGAAGAGGAGGUCCAUUCGGCCCUAAUGGACAUGAAUGGGGACAAGGCUCCAGGUCCGGAUGGCUUUACAGGAGCCUUUUGGCAAUUCUGCUGGGAGUUCGUGAAGGAGAAGGUUUUGGAGAUGUUCAAGGAAUUCCAUGAGCAUAAUGCUUUUCUCAAGAGUCUUAAUACCACGUUUUUGGUUCUGAUCCCCAAAAAAGGAGGAGCGGAGGAGCUGGGGGACUUUAGGCCGAUCAGUCUCUUGGGCGGGUUAUACAAACUCUUGGCUAAGGUGCUGGCCAAUAGGAUUAAAAACGUGAUUGGUAGAGUGGUCUCUUCAGACCAGAACGCUUUUGUCAUGGGUAGGCAGAUUUUGGAUGCGUCCCUAAUCGCAAAUGAGGUGAUUGACUCGUGGAAAAAAGAAGGAAAGAAGGGCCUGAUCUGCAAACUAGAUAUUGAAAAGGCGUACGACAGCGUCAAUUGGGGUUUCCUGAUGAGGGUUAUGGAAAAAAUGGGUUUUGGGACUAAGUGGAGGGAGUGGAUAUGGAGCUGUAUAUCGACUGCUAAGUUCUCUGUGUUAGUAAAUGGGGAGCCAGCUGGGUUCUUCUCUAGCUCUAAGGGGCUUCGGCAAGGCGACCCUCUAUCCCCAUAUUUGUUUAUCAUGGGAAUGGAGGUGCUGAGUGCCCUUAUUCGGAGGGCUGUGGAAGGGGGCUGCAUCACUGGAUGUAGAAUCCAGAGGGGUAGGGGGCAGGCUGUUAGCAUCUCUCACCUUCUCUUUGCGGACGAUGCCAUAGUUUUCUGUGAGGCUAAGAAAGAUAAUAUGACUUUUUUGAGCUGGACCUUAUGUUGGUUUGAAGCCGCUUCAGGGCUGAGGAUUAAUUUGGCUAAAAGCGAAAUUAUUCCAGUGGGGGAGGUGGAUGAGAUCCUUGAGAUGGCUGUGGAGCUGGGUUGCAAGGUAGGUCAGCUGCCAUCAACCUACCUGGGGCUGCCUCUGGGUGCGCCUAAUAAAACUGGUUACGUGUGGGAUGGGGUGGAAGAACGGAUGAGGUGGAAAUUAGCCCUUUGGAAGCGGCAAUACCUCUCUAAGGGUGGUAGAAUCACCCUCAUAAAGAGUACACUGGCUAGCAUGCCAUUAUAUCAAUUGUCCCUCUUCCGUAUGCCUAAGGUAGUGGCAAGAAGACUAGAAAAAUUGCAAAGAGAUUUCUUGUGGGGAGGGGGAAGUACGGAAAGAAAAGCACACCUAGUCAGUUGGGAGAGGGUGUGUGUGAGUAAGGAGAAAAGGGGGNNNNNNNNNNNNNNNNNNNNNNNNNNNNNNNNNNNNNNNNNNNNNNNNNNNNNNNNNNNNNNNNNNNNNNNNNNNNNNNNNNNNNNNNNNNNNNNNNNNNUUGGUUUGAGGAAACUAGUCCAAUUGAACAAAGCCCUUCUUGGAAAAUGGGUGUGGAGAUUUGCUCGUGCCAAGGAGGAGAUGUGGAAAUGUGUUCUUAUGGCAAAAUAUGGGCAAGACGAAUUUGGGUGGAGAACUAAAAAAGCAAAUGGGGCGUUUGGUGUUGGGCUAUGGAAGGAGAUUUUGAAAGAAGCUGAUUGGUGUUGGGACAAUAUGACUUUUAAGGUAGGAAAAGGCACCAGAAUCAGGUUUUGGAAGGACCCUUGGUGUGGGGAUGUGGAGCUGGCCCGGAGGUUCCCUCAACUCUUCAAUGUGGCUGCCCAAAAGAGUGCCACUGUGGGGGAUUUAUGGGACCAGAAUUCUGGCCAAGGAGGCUGGAACCUAAGGUUUAUUAGAGGCCUCAAUGAUUGGGAGCUGACCUUGGUUGACGAAUUGCUUCAAAUUCUAAGGAGCCAAAGAAUUACCUUGGAGGAGGACUUUGGCCUUAUGGAAGGGGGGAAAAAAUGGGAAGUUUGACGUCAAGGAUGCGUAUGGGCUGUUGACCAGUCAUAGUAUCCCUUUGUUUCCCAAAAAGGGCAUUUAGGUGGAGAACGUUCCUUCCAAGCUAGCGUUUUUUGCGUGGGAAGCUACUUGGGGGAGGGUUCUUACUAUUGAUAGGCUUCAAAAUAGAGGAUGGCAAAUUCCUAACCGGUGUUAUUUAUGUGUUAGUGAUGAGGAAAAUUUUAAUCAUCUCCUUAUUCAUUGUACAGUGGCUAGCGUGUUGUGGGGGAUGGUUCUUAGUCUGUUUGGAGCCCAAUGGGUCUCUCUAGAAACUGUAAAGGAGGCGGUUAUCAGCUGGAAGGGUUCUUUUGUGGGUAAAAAGAGGAAGAAAAUUUGGAGAUCCAUACCGUUAUUUAUUUUUUGGACGGUGUGGAAGGAAAGGAAUAGAUUAGCAUUCGGGGGGGGGAGUUAGCUAUGUAGAAAGUUAAGUAUUCUUUUGUUUGUAAUAUGUGGGGGUGGGCAAAAUUGUAUAAUGGUGCGGAGUCUCGCUCCCUUAUAGGUUUCCUGGAGUGGAUAGCCUCCAGUUAAGGGCUGGUGGGUUUUUGUUGUUUUUUGGUCCUUUGUUGUGAGGCCUUCGUCGCCUCGUAUACUCCCUGUAUGCUAUGCGGCACUUUGCCUUUUGCUAAUAUAUGUGUGUUUACUUAUCGAAAAAAAAAGUAAGUUGAAAGACCAUUUGUCCAUUUGAAUCUAGCUUGAUUGAUAUUGAGAAAGAAUCUAAUAUCAUCUCUAUGCAACUAAAUUUACUAGAUUUCCAUAUUAUGAAUACCCCUCCUCUUGCCACACAAGCCGAAAGAUUAGCCUAGUCCUUAUUCUUAAUGGUUUACACAUUUCUCACUAAUCUUUUAUCGCACUUUGCUUUCCUUGUUUCCUUAAGCAUCUCUAUAUAAAGAUAUAAAUUCCUUAAUUACCCUUCUUUUCUUUCUUUACUCCAAACCACAAAUGUUCUAGCUUAUGAUCCUUGUGCCAAAUCUUAGAAGCCCAACUACUAACUCCCUCUAAACAUCAUUCCCCUUGAUAAUAGAUUUGUAAAUCCUCCUAAUGUUCUCCUUAUCCUUAGACCUAACACUAUUAUUGUUGAGGGAAAGAAAAUUCUCAUUAUGUUUGAUAAGUUUGACAUUCAUAGAGGUUAGAAUAGAUUUAACACUUUCCAUUUAGCUAAGAGUGAGCCCUUUAAUGUGAAAACCUUCUAAUGCUGAAGGGUUUGGGUUUAUAUUUGUUCUUCAAUAGGCAAAAGAACCUUCGUGGAUGCACUAGGCAAGGACCUAGGGAAAGUAUCUCUUGUAAACAUAGGGCAAGAGGGAGCUAUGGAACAGUCCAAUUCAACAAAUUUGGGACAACCAACACUAGAGUCAAGUACUGCACCAUUUUUUAUUUAUUUAUAAAAAAGGUUAAUUAAGGAUAAUGGAUUUGAUGGGGUUAGAGAUGGCUAUGUAGAAUUGAGGACUAAAGGGCCAAAGGUGAUUGAAUGAAGAACUUUUAGGGUCACGGGGGAUAGGUAAGAGGGAGUUUAGGAUGGAAAUGCAUGAGCCAUGGGUACCUCUCUUAACCUAUUAAAAGACAGAUCACACCACCCAUCUAAGUUCAUGUCCUUAGUAAUGACUACUAGACUUGAACUAAUGAACCAUAGUGAGAACUCCCUCCAAUUCUUACAUCCUCUAGGUCAUAGUCUGUUUUCUUUUCUAGUGUGGUUUUGAGUGCCAUAGGAUUUAGGACCACCAUUGCGUUAUCUAUCAUAGACUACAUUGCUUUUGAGGGAAAUGUGCUCCUACCCUCCUACCAAUAAAAUCUUUUGAUCUUCUCAAUGAUAAUUUUGCUAAGAUUAAGGCUACCUCUUAGCUCAACUGAUCCACAGUCCAAUAGAUGUUUUUUACAUUGUAAAUCCCUUAGGAUCCUAUAGUAGGAGGUAGCAAUUGGUAAUAGUCCAUUGAUGGAGGGAGGGAAACACCAAUUUUGUAACCCUUGAUGACUAAGAGAUCUAGAAGAAUUGGAGAGCAAUUGUAGAGAGAAAGACUUUUGCGUCAUUGUUUUAGGUUGGGUUCCUUGCCUUGUGAUUGUUGUUUGUUUAGGCUUUUGAAAUUUUAUGAUUAUAUAAUGGGCAUCCCUUUACUAUCAUCUACUAUUAGCCCACGCAAUGUCUUGGGCUCCCUUCAAAAUAAAAAGUGCACUUCCUUUCCUUUAAAACCACCCUUUUCAGACUAGACCAAUAACUAUGUUUGGCCUACACUACACCUUAGUGUCACAAGUUGAUCCAAAUGAGCCUCCCCAUGGCCUUAUAUAGAGCUAGGAAGCUUCUGGAGACUCCCAGAGUGGGAAGAGUGUGGAAGGUUCUAGAGAAGUCUGGAGGAAUCCACACAAUUCUACACCAUGGUAGAAGGCACGAGAGGAGUCCGGGGCUUUCUAGAGAAAUCUAGAAGACUCUUGUAUAUACUUGUAUAUAGGCUUGUACCUAGAAUGAUGUAGGACAUUCUAGAAUAGUCUUGAGUUGUAAGGAACCCUCCAAGGUUCUAGAGAGUUCCAUUGGUGCCUAUAAAUAGGUGAGGGUCUCAUUUGGUCAAGGCACCAAGCAAGUGAGCUUCCAAGCACUUGUAAAAGCUUCUUUGAGUAAUAAAGAGCUUCCAUUCUUUAAGGAGUUGCCCACUAAGCCUCUUAAGCUUUCGAGUCACGAGUGUCUUAGCCGAGCAAGCUAAGCAUUGGGGAUCAAGGCUGACUUAGCAAGAUCAAGUGUCUUGACUUGCCUAAGUGCCGCACGAGCUUAGUGAACGACUAAGUCCGUGACAUUAGGCUCCUAUUAGUGAAAAAGGCCUCCUUCCUUACCCUUAACUUCUCUUUUUCUACUCGCCUAAACUUGAGAAAUUAGCCAACUUAGAGUUUGGAUAGGAAUUGGUCUGAUUUGAUCUUUGAUGGAUUGAAAAAUAUAAAUUUUGAAUUUGAAAUAAUGUGGUAUGAAGUAUAACUGUCCACCACUAGCUCCUUUCUAUUACUACGUGACCUAUAAGGCUAUAAUGUUGAGUCAUCUCAACCCUUCUACUCCAAUCCUAUCCUUAAUUUUUUUUUUUUUUUUUUGAUAAGCAAACAGAGAAUCUAUUAAAGAGUGCCGGUGAAAGGGAGUGCGCAACCUAUGCGUACAAGAUCUACUCCUAUCCUUAAUGAUUCCCACACCUUACUAAGUCACAUUGGCUUCUACCCAGAGUUAACCUAAGGAUAACUCAUUGACCAUUUUCAUCUUCUUCAACUAAUGAUACUGUUGUUGUGAAAACCCAAGCCCAAUUUGAGAUUUUUAGUGUCGUCAAAAUCAUUGUGUGCUCCUUUACCUUAAUUUUUAGAUGAAUCUUGGAAAGAUCGUGUUGAAAUUCGGCAUUCAAAGUUAGAGUUUUAAUUUAGGAAAGUAUUUUAGGAAUAAAAAAAGGGAGAGAUCAUUUAGGAUAUUUCCUUAGGAUUCAGUUUCCUAUUUUUUAGGAGAGAAUCAAGCUAGAUAGAUAUUUUCUUAUUCAGUCAUUUGUAUAUAUAUAUAUGUGUAUGGUGUGUACCGAAAUAAUAAUAAUAAAGGAGUUCAGAAAUUCUUCAUGGUAUCAGAGCCAGUUUUUCUGAAACUCUAAUCUCUUCUAGCCAUCUCUUAUUCAGGCCAUCAUUCAUUCCAGCCACACCUCUUUGGCCAUUUCUCAAUCCGGCUAUCUCUCUCUCUGGCCAUCACUCAUUCCGGCCAAGUCUCUCUGGCCAUCUCUCAAUCCUACCAUCUCUCUCUCUGGCCAUCUCUCAUUCCGGCCAUCAGUCCCUGUUUUCAGGCCGAUAUCUCUGGUUUUCUCCUCUUCCCUAUUUCCAACAACCAUAUUCGGCUGUCUUCUUCAUCUCCAUGACAAAAUACGGAAUGACAUCAUCACAAAUAUCCAGCGUCACGACACCAGAAUUAGGGGGCAGUUAUGAAAUUCCAAACCUUGGUGGCAGUGAUUCCUCUCCUAUUCUCAUCACAGGACACAAAUUAAAUGGCCAUAACUAUUUACAGUGGUCACAAUCUGUGUUGCUGUUCAUUUGCGGUAAAGGACAGGAUGAGUACCUCACUGGAGAAGCAGCCAUGCCAGAAACUAUAGAACUUGGUUUCAGGAAGUGGAAGAUUGAAAACAACAUGAUCAUGUCAUGGCUUAUCAAUUCCAUGAACAAUGACAUAGGUGAAAAUUUCUUGCCGUUUAGGACUGCAAAGGACAUAUGGGAUGCAGCCAAAGAAACUUACUCAAGUUCUGAAAAUACUUCAGAACUUUUUCAGAUUGAAUCAACCCUACAUGACUUCCGCCAAGGAGAGCAGUCAGUUACUCAGUAUUACAACACACUCACAAGGUAUUGGCAGCAACUUAACUUAUUCGAGACUCAGUCAUGGAAAUGUUCAGAUGAUGCAGCAACAUACAGGCAGAUUGUGGAACAAAAGAGAUUGUUCAAGUUUUUUCUAGGACUAAACAGGGAAUUGGAUGAUGUUAGAGGCCGAAUCAUGGGCAUUAAACCCCUGCCAAGUCUCAGGGAGGCUUUUUCAGAGGUUAGGCGUGAAGAAAGUAAAAAGAAAGUGAUGAUGGGAUCCAAAGAGCAACCUACCCCAACAUUGGAUGUCUUUGCCCUUGCUGCUUAGUCAUUUAAUAGUAGUGGUGGAGAUCGUCAGAAAUGUGAUAGGCCUUGGUGUGAUUAUUGUAAGAAAAUAGGCCAUUAUAAGGAGGCUUGUUGGAAGCUUCAUGGCAAACCGGCUGAUUGGAAACCAAAGCCACGGUUUGACAGAGAUAGCAGAACACACGUGGCUGCCAACUCUGAGAGCACAUCUGUUCCCGAGCCGAGUCCAUUCAACAAAGAGUAGAUGGAGAUGCUACAGAAACUAUUAAGCCAAGUUGGCAGUGGCAGUACUACCGAGACAACCUUCACUGCUAAUCGAGGAGGAAUGAAGCCGUGGAUAGUGGACACAAGUGCUUCUGAUCACAUGACAGGAGAUGUUGCCAUUCUUCAAAAUUACAAGCCAAGUAAUGGUCAUUCAUUCGUCCAUAUUGCUGAUGGUUCAAAGUCAAAAAUUGCCGGGACAGGUUCCAUAAAACUUACUAAAGAAUUGUAUCUUGACUCUGUCCUCCAUGUUCCAAACUUGGAUUGUAAUCUUUUGUCCAUUAGCAAAUUGGCCCGUGAUCUCCAAUGUGUUACUAAAUUUUAUCCAAACUCGUGUGUUUUUCAGGACUUGAAAUCGGGGAAGAUGAUUGGCAGUGCUGAACUGUGUUCCGGGCNNNNNNNNNNNNNNNNNNNNNNNNNNNNNNNNNNNNNNNNNNNNNNNNNNNNNNNNNNNNNNNNNNNNNNNNNNNNNNNNNNNNNNNNNNNNNNNNNNNNNNNNNNNNNNNNNNNNNNNNNNNNNNNNNNNNNNNNNNNNNNNNNNNNNNNNNNNNNNNNNNNNNNNNNNNNNNNNNNNNNNNNNNNNNNNNNNNNNNNNNNNNNNNNNNNNNNNNNNNNNNNNNNNNNNNNNNNNNNNNNNNNNNNNNNNNNNNNNNNNNNNNNNNNNACAUCAGGAGGAGGAAAAGACAAGAGUUGGAGCACAGAUCACAGCCAACAUGUGGCCAAUAUAUUGACUCCAUUUCAAGUCUACCUGAAGAGAACAUAGGUGAGGAUAGGGCUGGAGAGGUGUCAAUUCCCAGCAUUGAUGAUUCUACUCUGCCGAUUGCAUUGAGGAAGGGUGUUAGGAGAUGUACAGAUCAUCCAAUUGGGAAUUAUGUUACGUAUGAAGGGCUAUCACCAUCUUACAGAGCAUUUGCUACUUCUCUUGAUGAUACUCAGGUUCCCAACACAAUACAAGAGGCAUUCAAAAUUUCAGAAUGGAAGAAGGCAGUACAAGAUGAGAUUGAUGCACUUGAGAAGAAUGGGACAUGGACUAUCACAGAUUUGCCGAUUGGGAAGAGGCCCGUGGGGUGCAAGUGGAUUUUCACCAUAAAAUACAAACCAGAUGGAUCAGUCGAGAGAUUCAAGGCUCGUUUGGUAGCUAGAGGGUUUACACAAUCCUAUGGGAUAGACUAUCAGGAGACUUUUGCUCUUGUUGCAAAACUGAACACUAUCAGGAUUCUUCUCUCAUUGGCUGUCAAUCAAGAUUGGUGCUUGCAACAACUGGACAUAAAAAAUGCGUAUCUAAAUGGUGACCUAGAAGAGGAAGUCUACAUGGAAAUACCACCUGGUUUCGAAGGAAGUAUGGCAAAGAAUCAGGUUUGCAAACUCCAAAAAUCCUUGUACGGCCUUAAACAAUCUCCCCGAGCCUGGUUUGAUAGAUUCACAAAGGCAGUCUUGAAGCUGGGCUACAAACAAGAUCAGGCUGAUCAUACUCUAUUUGUCAAGAAGUCUCAUGCUGGGAAAAUGGCCAUAUUGAUAGUCUAUGUCGAUGAUAUUAUUCUAUCUGGGAAUGAUAUGGAGGAAUUACAGAAGUUGAAGAAGUAUUUGUCAGAAGAGUUUGAAGUUAAAGACCUUGGAAAUUUGAAAUAUUUCCUUGGUAUGGAAGUGGCUAGAUCAAGGAAGGGAAUUGUAGUCUCUCAAAGAAAAUACAUACUCGACCUUCUUAAGGAGACCGGUAUGCUUGGAUGCAAACCAAUUGAUACUCCUAUGGAUAGUCAGAAGAAACUUGGUAUCGAGAAAGAAAGUACACCGGUAGACAGGGGGAGAUAUCAGCGACUCGUUAGGCGCUUGAUUUAUCUCUCACACACUCGACCAGAUAUUGGCUUUGCAGUGAGUGCUGUAAGUCAAUUCAUGCACAACCCCACUGAGGAACACAUGAAAGCAGUUUACAGGAUUCUUAGAUAUUUAAAAAUGACACCAGGGAAAGGUCUAUUCUUCAGAAAGAUAGAGAAUCGUGACACUAAAGUAUACUCAGAUGCGGAUUGGGCAGGAAACAUCAUUGACAGGCGGUCCACUUCUGGAUACUGUUCUUUUGUCUGGGGAAAUCUUGUUACCUUGAGGAGUAAGAAGCAAUUAGUUGUAGCCAGAAGUAGUGCAGAAGCUGAGUACAAAGCUCUAGCACAGGGAAUCUGUGAAGGGAUUUGGAUAAAAAGGGUUCUUAGUGAACUGGGACAAACGAGUUCAUCUCUGAUUCUGAUGAUGUGUGAUAAUCAAGCAGCUAUAAGCAUAGCAAAGAAUCCCGUGCAUCAUGACAAGACCAAGCACGUUGAGAUUGACAGACACUUCAUCAUAGAGAAGGUGACUAGUGAGACAAUUAAAUUGAACUACGUUCCUACCAAGCACCAAACCGCAGACAUCCUCACCAAAGCUUUACCUAGGCCUAACUUCGAAGACUUAACUUUCAAGCUGGGAUUAUAUGAUAUAUAUUCUCCAGCUUGAGGGGGAGUGUUGAAAUUUGGCAUUCAAAGUUAGGAUUUUAAUUUAGGAAAGUAUUUUAGGAAUAAAAAAAGGGAGAGAUCAUUUAGGAUAUUUCCUUAGGAUUCAGUUUCCUAUUUUUUAGGAGAGAAUCAAGCUAAAUAGAUAUUUUCUUAUUCAGUCAUUUGUGUAUAUAUAUGUGUAUGGUGUGUACUGAAAUAAUAAUAAUAAAGGAGUUCAGAAAUUCUUCAGAUCGAUUAACUUUGAUGUGUGCCUAUCGAUUUCAAAGACCCUUUCAACACUCAUUUGUCGGUUGCAAUAGGUGCUUCUUAAUCCACAUGUCAAAAGACACUCUUUUUCAACUCAAUGCACCCCUUUUAGAAUGUACCUAGAAUCUUUGUAUUUACCCUUGGUGACUUCUUGUACACUUGAACCAUUACCGCUUCGUAUGCAUAGAUGAACCUCUUUUGAUGGAGAUAUUUUGCUUUAUCUAUGGAAUCAACAAAGAAAACCUCUUUACCACCAGAUUGCGCAUUUUCAUGUUUAAAAAAAAGAGAGGGGUUGUAAAAAAUGCAAGAGAGAGAGAGAGAGCGAGAGAGGGCGAGAGAGAGUGCGAUGGUGAGGAGGGGGAGGAGAGCUCGGCGUCGCGGAGCAGAAGGAAGGAGUGCAGUUUCACAGUGGAAUCCAAGGCGUUCGAGAUUGUUGUGGAGGAUAGAAGAGGAAAAAUCCAAGGCCUCAUUGUGGAGAAGAAGGGAGGGGUCUCGUCAUGGGUCCGAUUGGGAUCGGAUAGCCUAGGGUUUUUCUUGGAAGGGUUGAAUCUCUGUAUCAAGGAUGAGAAAGAAGACAGAUGGGAAGGGAAUGGAAGGAGCAGGGGAGACUGUAUUCUAUGACUCGAGGGACAAACAGAGCGGGGGGGUUUAUACGGCUAGGGGUCUCCGAUAUAGAGGGGAAGAGGUACCACAUCUUCAUCCUGAGAGGCAGUAGGGAUAAGAGGGGGUGGAUGACCAUGGCGGAGAAGCUUAACCAGAUGGUAGGGUUUCUUGGCAAAAACCCAGAAAACCAGAAAGGAAAGGCUGUGGAGAAGGCUGUUGUGGGAAGAUCGUAUGCAGCAAUGGUGACAAGAACACUGUCGGGUAACCCAAAUGUCAUUGCAGUGAAGGUGAAAAAGGAGGAAUCAAUAGGAUUAUUACAGAAAUUAAAUCAUUGUGUUGUGGCGAGUUGGAGAGAUAAGUCAAGGGAAGAAGAUGAUCUUGAGAAGUUGGGGCAAUUCUGGGCAAAGUCUUGGGACCUUAAGGGUAGCUUAGGGCUGGCUAAACUGGACAAGGGAAGAGCGCUGCUGAAAGUUGAAAAUUUGGAGGAGGCUAGACGAGUCAUUUCCUCUGGGAGUCGCGCGAUGGAAGGAACCCAGGUAAGGCUGGAGCACUGGAGCCCUAGGAGUGGAUGUUGGGCAGAGGAGGAAGAGAGAAAGGAAGUUUGGGUAAGGAUAGUUGGGCUCCCAAUCUCGUUAUGGAGUCCAGAGAUAUUGAAGAGAGUGGGGGAUGAAUGUGGCGGUUUUAUCACAGUCGAUGAACAGACGAAAUCGAUGGGUGAACUCCAAUGGGCCAGAAUCUUGGUGAGAUUGAGAGGAGAAUUUAGACCGAGCAUGCUGGAAAUCGAAGUGGAGGAGGAGAUUUGCGCAGUGUCCUUAUGGUGGGAAUGCUGGCCGGUGUUGAGGAGGAAGCGCAGAAACGAAGCCGGUCAUCGUAGCAGUGAGGUUAGGGGUGAGGAGGUCUCACGCGCGGGGCAGCAAGUGAUGAAGGAAUGGGUGAGCGUGAGGCUCGAGACGUUGAACCCGUUAGACGAAGGGACGGACGUGCAGGGGGUUGGGUCGGGUCGGGUUGAGGUUAGUACAGACCUAAGCUCGACAACCCGGACUUGGGCUUUAACUGGCGAACUAAAUCCUUUAAGUCCAAUCGCGGGCCCAAAGGAGACAAGGAGGGUUGGUGGGCUUGGCCUGAUGAGCGGGUCCAUGGACUUGAAGAAGAAAGGAGUGGCUACAAGUGAUUUUGAACCAAACGUAGGCCCAUCGUAUAGAAUGGAAGAUGUGGGCUGCUAUACUAAAGGCCCAGCUCCGCCUAUAGCCUGAUCAUCAAUCGAAGACCCAAGUUGCUCAAAGGCCUGCACCCAACAGCCCGAUCCAAGUGGAAAACUAAGGGAGGGCCCAAAAUCAUCAGUAGCCCAAGAGGAGACGGGCUUUCUGUUGAAGUGUCUCGCCUCCAGUUAUCCUCCAGAAUCAGAGACUUUUGUUGCGAGGGAGUCUGAGGACACAAGGAAGCUACAAGGAGUGGUUAGGCUGACAGAGACAGAUAGGGCGCUUGAAGAGGAAUCAAUGAGGUAUGGAAUGGGGUCUGGUUCUUGGGGGAAAAGGGCAUUGGGGGAUUCUCAUCUCAAUUCUUUUCUUUUUGAUCGGACUCCNNNNNNNNNNNNNNNNNNNNNNNNNNNNNNNNNNNNNNNNNNNNNNNNNNNNNNNNNNNNNNNNNNNNNNNNNNNNNNNNNNNNNNNNNNNNNNNNNNNNUUUUUUUUUUGUUGGGUCGGGGGGGGGGGGGGGGGGGGGGGGAGUUUUACGAUCAUUCUGGGGAUUUGGAUGAGGAAGUUCGGGCUGAUAACUCAAUGUGGUUAACAGUGUAUGAGGCUUGUAAUGAAAGGAUUACUGAACGUAAGGAACUGGGAGUAAUCAAAAGUAGUAGUGACAAAGGCAGGGGGAAGGAAGGGGUUGGUGACAUAUAUGAUGCUCAAGUUGAGAGAAGUGAGCCGGAGGGUAAAUGGGAAGAGAGUGGCUUGGUGAGGUUCAACCAGUUCCUGGGCUUCCCUACGGAGGGGCUGGAGAAGGAAAUAUUGAAUUUUUUGACCAAGAUUAGAAAAAGACGGGAGAAAAUUCAUAGCAAAGAGCUACUGGAAAAGUCUAAGUUUGAAAGGGAGCUAAAAAGACUGGAAUGUUCCAUAAACUAUGAGGGGGGGAUGAAACAGAAAGGCUCGAUAUAGGGCAAAGGGCGCCAAAUUGUGAUUGUCCAAUGAAGGUGAAAAUUUUGAGUUGGAACGUGAAGGGAGCAAAUGAUAGCUCCAAAAGAAAAGUGAGUAAGACGUUCAUAAGAAAUCAGAGGGUGGACUUAAUUUGUAUUCAGGAGACAAAAAUGCAGUUUAUGACGGAUAGCAUUGCGAGAAGUAUAGGCUUCGGAAGAUUCCUAGGUUGGAAAGCUGUGAAUGUGGAGGGAGCUUCGGGAGGAAUUUUUAUAUGCUGGGAUAGAAGGUCUUUGGAAAUCCUAGAUUGGGAGGAGGGACUGUUUACUCUAUCUUGCAGAUUCCGGAAUGUAGAAAAUGGGGUUGUCUGGGUUUUUACGGGAGUGUAUGACCCUUUCUCUAAAGUAGAAAGGGAUGCAUUAUGGGAAGAGUUUGGGGCGAUUAGAGGGCUGUGGGAAGACCCUUGGUGCAUAGGGGGGAUUUUAAUAUCACUUUGUUUUCGAGGGAAAGGAGUAGCCAGAGGAGAAUUAACUCAGCAAUGAGAAAAUUUGCUGAAACUGUGAAUGAUCUUGGGCUGGUGGAUCUUCCUCUUCAGGGGGGAGAUUUUACUUGGAAUGGGGACCAAAAUAAUCAGACUUGGGCAUGUCUGGACAAGUUCCUUGUGUCUCUUAGUUGGAUAGACCAAUUCAGUGGGAUUAAUCAGUGCAAGCUGCCCCGUCCGGUAUUCGAUCAUUUCCCAAUUAUGUUAGCGGGGGAUGGGAUAAGACGAGGCCCGACUCCAUUCAGAUUUGAAAACAUGUGGCUUAAGGCUGAGGGCUUCAUAGAGCUUGUAUGCAGCUGGUGGCAAGGAAUUAAUGUUAGGGGCAGUGCUAGUUACAAGUUGGCUACUAAGAUGAAGGAAAUCAAACAGAAGCUGAAAGUUUGGAAUAGAGAAGUCUUUGGUAAGCUAGAGUGCAACAAAUCUACAGCCUUGCAACAGGUGGAAUUCUGGGAUAGGGAGGAAAAUGAAAGAAUUUUGACUGUGGAGGAAUCAGAGCUUAAGAAAGAGGCAAAAGAAAAUUACAGAAAAUGGGUGAUUAUGGAGGAAACUCAUUGGAGACAGCUCUCAAGGGAAAUAUGGCUGAAGGAGGGGGAUAGAAACACGGGUUUCUUUCAUCGCAUGGCAAGUGCUCACCGUAGAAAUAAUUUUUUGGAGAGAAUUAAGAUCAAUGGGGAAUGGUUUCUAGAGGAGCAGGAAAUUAGGGAAGGAAUUGCUAAUGCGUUUAAAAAUUUACUCUCAGAAGAUACGGGGUGGAAGGUGGAUAUUGGGAGUCUUUAGCUUGAUCAGAUCAGCCAACAAGAGGCUGUGAUUUUGGAGAGGCCCUUUACAGAGGAUGAAAUCCAUGUGACUUUGAUGGAGAUGAAUGGGUAUAAAGCCCUUGGCCCGGAUGGCUUUACUCUGGCUUUUUGGCAAAGUUGUUGGGUGUUUAUUAAAGAGAAGAUUCUAGAAAUGUUCAAGGAAUUCUACGAACAUAGCUCUUUCCUCAAGAGCCUUAACAAUACUUUCUUGGUAUUGAUCCCCAAGAAAAGUGGGGCUGAGGACCUUGGAGAAUUUAGACCUAUUAGUCUCCUAGGGGGGCUUUACAAGUUAUUGGCUAAAGUGCUGGCUAACAGAUUGAAGAUAGUGGUUGGAAAGGUGGUCUCUACUUCUCAGAAUGCCUUUGUGAGGGGAAGACAAAUUCUUGACGCUUCCUUAAUUGCAAAUGAAGUGAUAGACUCGUGGCAGAAACGAAAAGAAAAGGGCCUUAUAUGCAAACUGGAUAUAGAAAAAGCUUAUGACAGUAUCAAUUGGAAGUUUUUGUUGAAGGUGUUGCAGAAAAUGGGUUUUGGGCCUAAGUGGGUGGGGUGGAUGUCGAGCUGCCUAUCUUCAGCUAAAUUUUCAGUGUUGGUUAAUGGAGUGCCUGCAGGCUUCUUUCCUAGCUCUAAAGUUCUUAGACAAGGAGAUCCCCUGUCUCCUUAUCUCUUUGUUAUGGGAAUGGAAGUGCUAGAUGUUCUUAUUAGGAGAGCUAUGGAGGGGGGUUUCUUAUCAAGGUGUAACAUAAGGGGUGGUAGUGAACCUCCUUUGAACAUCUCUCACUUGUUUUUUGCUAACGACACCAUUAUUUUCUGUGAGGCUAGAAAGGAUCAUCUAACUCAUUUAAGUUGGAUUUUAUUCUGGUUUAAAGCGGCGUCAGGCCUAAGGAUUAAUUUAGCCAAGAGUGUAAUCAUUCCAGUUGGAGAGGUGGUGGAGAUGGAGGAGUUGGCUGUUGAGCUAGGUUGCAAGGUGGGGUCCUUACCUUCUCAGUACUUGGGUCUUCCUUUAGGGGCUCUCAAUAGAGCGCCUUAUAUGUGGGAUGGGGUGAAAGAGAGAGUCAGGAGGAGACUAGCCCUUUGGAAAUGACAAUAUAUUUCUAAAGGGGGAAGAGUCACUUUAAUAAAAAGUACUUUGUCUAGCAUGCCAAUCUACCAAAUGUCUAUCUUCAGAAUGCCCAAGAUUGUUGCUAGAAGACUUGAGAAAGUGCAAAGGGACUUUUUGUGGGGAGGGGGAAAUAUGGAGGGGAAAACUCACUUGGUAAAUUGGGAGGUGGUAUGUACAGACAAGGAUAAAGGUGGGCUAGGCCUUAGGAAGCUAGCUAUGUUGAACAAAGCUUUACUUGGAAAGUGGAUAUGGAGGUUUGCUUGUGACAAAGAUAAUCUUUGGAAACAAGUGAUCAAGGUGAAGUAUGGGCAGGAGGACUUUGGUUGGAGGCCAAAGAAGGCUACCGGGGCGGUGGGAGUAGGGGUUUGGAAGGAGAUUUGGAAAAAAUCAGAAUGGUGUUGGGAUAACAUGACUUUCGGAGUAGGGAAGGGCAACACGAUCAGACUUUGGACAGAUGUGUGGUGUUCAGAGUCAACGCUGUCCCAUUGUUUUCCUCAUCUCUUUGGUAUGGCGGUUCAAAGGAACUCAACGGUUGAGGAAAUGUGGGAUCAAAAUUCGGGUCAAGGAAAUUGGAAUCUAAAUUUUUUGAGGGAUUUCAAUGAUUGGGAGUUGGAGUUGGUUGGGGAUUUUCUACACAUAUUGAGGGGUCUCAAACCCUCUUGGGAGGAAGAUUCAGUCCUGUGGAGGAAAGGAAGAAGUGGUCAAUUCAGGGUCAAGGAAGCUUAUAAUUUGUUGGUGAGGUCUAAUGAUACAAACUUUCCAUCAAGAAGCAUUUGGGUGGCAAGGGUGCCAACUAAAGUUGCUUUUUUCGCGUGGGAGGCGACGUGGGGGAGGGUGCUUACCUUGGAUAGACUUCAAAGAAGAGGACUACAACUUCCAAAUCGCUGCUUCCUGUGUGGUUGUGAGGAAGAAAGUGUAAAUCAUAUCCUUAUACAUUGUACAGUGGUUAGAGCUCUAUGGGAUAUAGUGUUUGGUUUAGUUGAUGUGAAAUGGGUUUUUCCAGAAACUGUAAAGGAGGUUUUAGUUAGCUGGAGGGGUCCGUUUGUGGGAAAGAAAAGGAAAAAGAUUUGGGACGCCAUUCCGUUGUGUAUUUUUUGGACGGUGUGGAAGGAGGGGAAUAGAUUAGCUUUUAGGGGGGGAGGGGUGUGUUGAACGUUCAGAAGCUAAAGAAUUUUUUUGUUUGUAAUCUGUGGAGUUGGGCCAAAUUGUAUGUAGGUGAGGAGGCGUUCUCCCUUAUAGGCUUCCUAGAGUGGAUAACUUCCACUUAAAGGGAGGUGAUUUUUUUGUUGUUGAUUUUUGAGGCCUUAGUUGCCUUGUAUACCUUGUGGCGUUGUGCCUUUUGAAUGCAUAUCCUUUACUUAUCAAAAAAAAAAAAAAAACCUCUUUACCACCAGGGAAAGAGGGAGAUAAAGACUACUCCUUUCAUCCCCAAAUGCUUGGCCAAAGCUCUGCCUAUUUUAAUCUUGCUCAUGUCUACUUCUGGGUUUUAGUAGACCAUUGCCCUAACCCAUCUCCCCACUAGCAUAGAACCUUCUCUUCUUAGCACUUUCUUAGCCAUGGCAUUCGCAUAAUAGAGCUUCACCAAAUGAAAGUCUAUUCUCUCCUUGACAAUUUUUGCUUACUAGUUUUUGCUACUUGUGUUCCCUUGAAGACCAUUGGUUGAGAUGGAAACAAAUUCAAAGACGAUAUGGAUUCUCUUAGUAUUUCUCACUCGUUGCUAUUUAAACCUUUUUAUAGAAUCACCUGAAAGGUUGUUUUUCGGUUUGUCACAAACUUUAAGCUUUUCAAGAAUUUGUCAUUAAUGUUCAUCUUUACCUCCAAAAGGUGCACUCUAGUGUUAACCUUAAAAUUUGUGACUAAAUCCUAGGAACCUGUCCAUCUCUAUAGCCUUCUUCAAAUAGUCCAAAAUCCAAUCAAUCUCUUCUUUCUCAAAUCCUAGGGUAAAGGAAGCUCCUUGAGUUUGCUUUGUGAUAGAAAUCCAUGGCCCUCCAUUCUUUCCUUCAAACCUUAACUCAAACGUCUCUAUCUCCAUUGAGUAAAUUCUUCUCUAGCUGUUGUCUUGCUUCAUUUUCUUUCUUUGUUUGUAUCUUACACUUUAGUUAAUUAAUCUCUCUCAAUUGUGACUAUCAAAAAUUGGUUUCUUGAUAUCACCUUGAGGAUAAGGUUGGAAUUUAAGAGAGAAGGAGUUGAUACACAUCUUUAAAUAUUCUUUACUGAUGUGUUCAUAGUUGUGAAAGGUGCGCCUAGGCUCCAUGUGGUGCGACACCAUGCUGCGGUGCCUCACCCGACUCCAAGCGUCGCCCCUUCACGAAGGCAUUGAUUAGGCGCACAAGGCGCUCGCUUCCGGCUAGCUAUGAUGUCCCAAACAAGUCUGCCUUCUUCCUCAUUCUUUUUUUUUUCCUUCUUUUGGUCUUCUUCUUCUUCUCUAGCGACUGAGUUGCAAAGGAGAACACGACAUUGCUAAGGGUUUUUUUUUUUUUUUUUAAUUUGCUAAGACCAAAAUGACUCGUUUUGGUCUUUUUCUUUUUAAAGAAUAGGGUUCAAAACAAUGUUGUUUUGGACCUGUUCUUGACUUCCAACCCCAAAUUUGCUUGUUUUGAAGCUGACAAAACCUAAAAAAAACCCCUAGCUUAGCCUCUGCCUCGUGUGCCUGUGAAGAAGAGAAGAAGACGAAGAAGAAAAGGAAAAAUAGAUGUACCUUGAAAUUUUGGAUAAUGUUUGAUGAUAUAUGUGUUUAUGACAAAUAAAUGAUUAUUAAAUUUGAUUAUAUUAUAUAAAAUUAUGUAUGUAAAAUAGGGCGUGCCUCACUUCACUAAAGCCCAUACCUUAGGUGCGCCUUGCGCCUUAGGCUCUAGGAGGACUUUGUGCCUUGGUGCAUUUUAAGCCUUUUAAAACCAUGGAUGUGUAAUUUUGAAUGGGUAAAAUUAGUUGUUGUUAGCGGGUUUUGUUGGGUUGUUUAGAUUCUAUAGGUAAUUUAUUUGGCGUUUGCCUACUUUUUAGGAAUAAGUUGUAGUUGCUAAUUUUAUUUAAAGCUGAUGAAUAAGAGGAGGGGGACACUCUAAUUUCCAACUUUUAUUUUUAUUUGGAUGUAUAAGGUUCCUUCAAAUGAAGUUGCUAUCUUAAUUAUAUUUUAGUUAUCUUCCCAAGAUAGGCAGAUGCAAGUAGACUAUAUUUCAAUUGGCUAUACUAAAUUCAUUCUUAGAAUUUUAAAAUAAAUAAAUAAAGGUUUUGAAUAUAGCAACAAGAAAAGAAAGAAAGAAAAAAAGAACGAAGAAAAAAUCAAUUAAAGUUUAUUUAUUUCUAAGGUUUCUCCGCAACCUACUCUUUCCUAAACAUAUGGUCAACCAUCUACAUACUUGCAUGGAAAUAACCUUAAUUAGUUGGUCAUGCUAGUGAUCAACAUUUAUUCUACUAAUUAGUGCAAAUUCUAACACUCAUUCUCAAGCUAGUUUGAAGAUAUUAUGCAUUCCUAGUUUGGUUGCAAUGAAGUUGAAUGUGACACUUGGAACUCUUGGUGAAAAUAUUGUUAGUUGUUGUUUGGCUGUCAUGAAAGGGGUACAAAUCUAACUGUUGUUGAUUUAUCCAUCUCAACAUGCUUUGUUCUAUCAUGUUGCUCUAUAUUGUGUGCAUUACUUAUUACAACUUUCUUGUUAAAGUAAAUCUUCAUAAUUUCUUUAGAAUCCAUUCUUUGUUCCUUAAGCAAGAUCCUAAUCUACAAUAAUUCACAAAUUCCUUAAGCUAUUGCUCAAAACUCAGCUUUUGCACUUGAUUUAACCAUAACAAGUUGCCUUUUACUUUUCCAGUGACUAGGUUUUCUCUCGGAAAUGUAUAGUAGCGCGAUGUUGAUUUUCUAUCUGUAAUGGACCUUUUCUUUACCAAGAGUUGACUUUAGGUAUCUCAAGAUUCUUUGAAUUGCAUCCAUGUAACAUUCUAAAGGUGAGUGCAUGAGUUUGGCUAACCAUGCUGAUAGCAUAGGCUAUAUCAUGCCUUAUUUGAAAUUGGUAGAUCAAUUUUCCAACAAGUCUUUGAUGUCUUCCUUUAACACUAAAAUUCCUUUUGUGAUUAAUGUAUUAGUAGGUUUAAUAAUCGUCUCAUUGAGUAGAUCUAGGAUAUACUUCUUUUGUGAGACGAAGAUUUCUUUACUUGAUCUGGUCGCUUAGAUCCUAAAAAAAUGUCUCAAGCUUGCUUUUUUUUUUUUUUUGUUUUAGAUUUUCCAUCUUCUCCUUAUCAUCGCUUGUGACAAUUAUAUUAUCUACAUGAAUAAUUUGUAUUGUGAUAUUCAUGUGUGUGGUAUGUUUAAUGAGCAAGGUAUGACUCCAUUGACUUUGACAAACCAACAUUUAAGUAAGGACUUGGUGAACUUCUCGAACCAUGUUCUAGGAGAUUGCUUCAACCUAUAUUGAUUUUUCCAAUCUACACACUUUCCUUUGAUUAAAAUGGUUCUCAAAUCCAGGUGGUAGGUUUAUGCAAACCUCUUCAUCCAAUUUUCCAUGUAGAAAAACAUUUUUUACAUCAAAUUAUUGUAAGGGCUAAACUAGAUUAGCUAUCUCGGUUAAUAGGACUCUAAUGGAGUUCAUCAUAGUGAUAAGGACAAAGAUUUCUUGAUAAAUAAUCCCAUAGGUCUUUGUGUGCCCCUUAGUCAGUAAUCUAGCCUUGCACCUCUCAUUUAACUCAUCCACCUUAUUUUUGAUGGUGAAAACCCACUUGCCCCCAUACUAGUCUUUUUCCUUGGGGUAAUUCAACCACUUCCUAAGUUUUAUUCUUAUGGAAUGUUCUCAUUUAAUGGCUUCCCUCCACUUUGGAUUGUUUAAAGCCUCUUUUACAUUUUUAGGAACAAAUUUUAUGGAGAAUUUAGUGGUGAAUGUCUUGUUGUUGGGGCUAGUUGAUGUAAAGAUAAAAAAUUUGAAAGGGGAUGUUUUUGUACAAGCUCUAACACAUUUCUAAUGAUAAUUGGAAUAUUCAAAUUUGUGUAAAAUAGAGGUGCAUAAAGAAGAAUGUUAGGAAUAUCUAUGUUUAGAGUUCAAGAUUGACUGCACGAGAGAGAAAUGGGAUAUUUGAUGUUGUCCUGCUUCCUCGAAUAGAUUAAAGAUCAAGUCCAUUUUCUGCUCUUUUUGCAUUAUUCCUGUCCACUGCAUUACACCGUCUGGUUUACCCUUUUUUUCCCUCAUUCUCCCUUGUGCAUCAUUAACUCUCUCUUUCACUGCAUCACUGAUCUGGUUGUUAGACAGAAAAUGAGGUGAUAAGAUCAUGUAAGGGAAGAUUAGGUGAUGGAUGGAUAGAAGAAGAAGGAAUAGGCAUGUAGAAAUGUAGGCAUUAAGGAAAAUAAAUUUUUAUUAACCUUCUUUUCUGAAUAAUACAUGAAGGAUACAAUACAAGUUUAUAUAGAGACCCCUCUAGCUAGAAAAUAGGAACUUCCCUAAAAAAUAGAGACUCCUCUAGCUAGAAAUAGGAACUUCCCUAAAAAAUGGUCUAUGAAGUCCCUUGGUUAGGAUGUCAGCCAGUUGCUGUGUAGUUAGAACAAAUGGCGUGCAUAUAAGACUGGGUUGAAGUUUUUCCUUUAUGAAAUGUCUAUCAAUCUCCACAUGUUUAGUCCUAUUAUGCUGAACUGGAUUAUGUGUAAUACUGCUUGCAACUUUAUUAUUGCAAUAAAGCUUCAAAGGGUAGAUUGUUGGUUGUCUUAACUCUUUUAGGACAUGCUUAAGCCACAUCACAAACCCCAUAUGCCAUCGCUCUAAAUUUUGCCUCCACAUUACUCUUAGCUACUAAACUUUGUUUUUUACUCCUCCAAGUAACCAAAUUUAUCCAAAUAAAUGUGCAAUGCCCUGAGGUCGAUCUCUUAUCAGCUACUGAACCAGCUUAGUCUGCAUCCAUGUGUACUUCAACUCUCCACUGCUUAUUCUUCUUAAAAAAUAGCCCUUUUUGUGGUGUAUUCUUCAAGUACCUUAAAAUUCUAUAAACUGCUUCGAGAUGCACUUCAAAAGGUGAAUGCAUAUAUUGACUUACCAUACUAACUACAAAGGCAAUAUCCAGUCAAGUGUGAGAUAAGUAAUAUUGGAAGAUUAUUAAGAUCAUUAAGAGACUCUACAUGUUUAAUAUUGGAAGAAGAAUAUGGUUUAGAUGGAGGCUUACCUUUCUCAAGGGGUGUGAUUAUAUCUGUUCUUGGGACAGAUUCAUGGCCUUACUAUAAAGUAGGUUCCUCCAUCCUUUUUGAAUAUGGUCUUGAGUAGACAUGACGCUCUUGAUUGUUUUUACUUGUAUUUUCAAUGAAUUCAGUAUUUUUAUGAUCCUGAUCAUGUGCUGACAUUAAGGUAGACUGUCCAAAUUUUCAAUAGCUAAAUCAUUUGUUCCCAAAGUUUGUCUACUACCUACAGACUCAUCAAACAUCGGUGGCUGUUUUUUUUGUUUUUUCUAGACAUUUUUCUUGGAAUUUUCAUGGAGUUUCUGAUUGCUGUUGAACUAACGGUGGCUGUAACAGUGGCUGGUCUAACUCAAACAACACAAUAGGAAUGAAAUCUACUCUUUUAUUCUCCCCUUGAGGAUGAUCAUGACUAAAGUAGGAUUUAGUUUCAAAAAAGGUGACAUCCAUUGUUACAAACAUUCUUUUAGUACAGGGAUCAAAGUAUUUAUACCCUUUUAGUGUUGAAGAAUAUCCAACAAAUAUGUAUUUGAAUGCUUUAGGAUCAAAUUUUCCACAGUUAUGAUUAUGGACAUGAAUGAAUGUAAUGCAAUAAAAAAUUUUCAAAGGUAAAUUCAUUGAAAUCUGUGAAGUAGGAAAACACAUGUUGAAAAAAUCAAUAGCAGUUUGAUAUUUUAAAACCUUGUUGGGCAUCCUAUUAAAAUAGCUUUGCCUUAAAGAUAUUUAGGAACUUUUGUUGAAAAGGUGAAUGAUCUAGCAACUUCUAAAAGAUGUCUAUUCUUUCUUUCUACCACUUCAUUUUGUUGAGGUGUAUCAACACAAGAACUUUCAUGUAUUAUGCCAUUUUCUGGAAAGUAGUUUUCUAACAAUUGAUUGGAGUAUUCCGUUCCAUUAUUAGUUUUAAAAUUUUGAAUAUUUGUUUAAAAUUGUGUUUUGACUGUUUUGUGAAAAGUUUUAAACAAUUAUGCUACUUUUGAUUUUUCUUUUAGCAAAUACGCCUAAGAAGGUCCCUAAACACCACUAUGUAUUACAAAAAAAGGUUUAGAGGCUUUAUAGGGUUGUGAAGGAAAAAAUGCAUGAUGAUGCUUUGCAAGUUCACAAAUUUCACAAUGGAAUGAAGAUGAAUCUUUAUUAAUAAACAACUUUGAAAAUAGAUGUUUCAAAUAUUGAAAAUUGGGAUGUCCUAACCUAAAAUGCCUUAACACUAUUUCAUUCUCACUAGAUAUUAAAACAAGUUCAAAACAAGUACUUUGGGCUUGUCUACCUAGUUUGAUUCCAUCUUCAAAGAAAUAAAGUCCUUCAUAGCAUUGCCAAUCAUCUUCCCUGAGUUCAAAUCCUAGACUUCACAUUGAGAUGAGAAAAAAUUAGCUUGAUAGUUUAAAUCAAAGGUUAAUUUACUAAUAAACAAUAAAUUUCAAGACAAAUUAGGAACAUGAAGGACAUUAUGGAGUGUAGGAAGUGAGGGAAUUUUGAUAGAUCAUUUUCCAACAAUAGUUGAAAGUGAUCCAUCUGCUAUUUUUAUUUGUUUGUUUCCUGCACAGGGACUAUAAGAAGAAAACAGAUUUGAAGAACUGGUCCUAUGAUCGGUUGCACUAGAAUCUAUGAUCCAUGGGCAAUUUGAAUCAAGGCUAAUAAGGGGUGUGGCAAGAUGAUUACCUUUUUGGGCUAAGGAACAAGAAAAGGAUCGACUUAAAGAGACCCGAGAUUGAAGAAGUUUGUACAAAUGCUCUAUUUGAUCCUUCGUAAAAGGAGAUGUUUCUAAGGACGGUUGUAGCCCUUGUUCAUCGCUUUCAACUUGGUAGGCACGACUCUCCCUGCCAUGUUUCUUCCUUUAGUUUGAUGGUUUUCUGUGAAUCUUCUAGAAGGUGUCACGAGUAUGCUAGGGUUUGUUACAGUGGUCAUACCAUGGUUUAUCAUCCUUUUUAGAAUUCCUUUUUUCUCCUUGAUCAAAUCCCUUUGUAACAAAGGCAAAACUAUCAAAUUUUGUUUUAGUCCUUGGUGACUCAAGGUUCAUCGUAACAAAUCUUCUAGCCUUCUCUCUUCUAACUUUAGAAAAACUUCUUGAAGAGAUGGAAAUCGUUUUCUCCCCAAGAUUUGACCUCUCACUUCAUCAAGGGAUUUUUUUGAUAAAGAUCCUAUGCUCUAAUACCAUGUAGGCUUUGAGGAAAAUAAAUUUUUAUUAAUCCUAUUUUCUGUAUAAUUCACGAAGGAUACAAUACAAGUUUAUAUAGAGACUCCUCGAGCUAGAAAAUAGGAACUUACCUAAAAAAUAGAGACUCCUCUGGCCAUAAAAUAGGAACUUACCUAAAAAAUAGAACAAGAAACUAACUAAAAAAAAUCCUAACUAAAUUUGAAUUUAAAAAUAAAUAUCACAACUCAUCCUUUUUCCUAAAAAUAACAACAAUAUUCCUAGAUUCUCGACAAGAAAUAUUCUUAUAUACUAAAUUUCUUCUCCUAAAGAUUAGUCUUAGAAUAGUAUGGUUGUUCUUGAAAAAAGCACACAUCCAUGGUGAGAAAUCUUUGUUUUGUAGGAGUAUAAAAGCAUUUGUAUUCCUUUUGAGUGGGAGAGUAUCAUAGGAAUAUACAUCUAAUAACACUUGCAUCAAGUUUUGUUCUUUCCCUAUAAGAAUUGCAUCUCCUUAAUAUACUUUAGGAACAUUAUGAGAGAACAUUAAAGCCUUGGCCACUUCCAAAAAAAGUCUAUUUUUCUCUUAGCCGCCCAUUUGUUAGGGUAUACCAACACAUAUAAUUAGGUGUGUGAUCCCAUUUUAAGAAAAGAUGAACUUAGGGUACCAUUUAGAUAUUCUCUCCAUUAUUAGACUUUAAAACUUGUAGUUUAGCAUAGUUUGGAUCAUUCUAUGGAAAUUUAGGGAGGUAGGGACAAUCUCAAAUUUAUCUUUGAGGAGAUAAAUUCAAGUAUCACAAGCACAAUCAUCGAUAAAACUAAUAAAACCAUUUGAAGUUACCUAAAAUUUAGGGUGGUAGGGACAAUCUCAAAUUUUGGAUGAGCAAGAUAGUUAUAAGGAGUACGAUGUCCAAAUCAGUGGGUUGUAGGAAUUGUAUUGUAUGCUGAUAUGGUACGUAAGCUGAGUAAGGAGUUCAUAUACAAGUUACCUAAAACAAAAGGUUCACCCACUUUUGAUGUUGACGUCGGUGUUGGUGUGGUUGGUUGCUUUCACUUGGUCAAAGAAGGCCAUGAAGAUGAUUGGAGAACAACUUUAAAGACAAAGAAAGGUCUCUUUAAGUGUACAAGAUUGACAGAGUUGAAAUUUUUGCAAGUCACAUGAUGGACAACUCACAAUUCUACAUUUUACAUGUAAAAUUUAUAUCAAGCAGAGUACUUUAUUGUUUGUAAUCAAUCCAUUCACAUGGGAAGAAAAAGAACAAAAUGGUGGAAGAGUUUGCUUUGGAUUUCUAUACAUCGAGGAAGUCAAUGAAACUCGAUGUUGAGUUUCUUCCUAGUUAGAGGGAAUGGUGAAGAAUUAACCCCCAGGGUUUAUUCACAACAAAAGAAAGACAUUGGUAGUUUGGUUUCAUUGUUUUAUUUAGUCUUUUUGUUAUAGUAGGAUUGAUAUUUAAUAGUUUACUUUUGUUAAGCUUUUUAUUUUAUUUUAGGUAGUGGCUGACUUUUUUGUUAAGUUUCUAUUCCUUUUAUUCUUCUUAUUAGCAUUAGGAAUGUUUCUAUUUCUUUUAAUUAGUGAAUAAUAUUCCUUUCCUAUUUUUGCAAGAAAUAUAAGAAAUUAGGAAAGUUAUCCUAUCAAGGAAGAGAGUCAUAAGAGUCUAUAUAUACCUUUGUAGUCUUUCGAAGUAAAGAGGAGAAUUUUAAUAAAAUUUCAGCAUCUAUUAUGCUUUCCUUUGAAGGUGUGACUACCUUCUUCCUAAGUGUGAUUUGCCUUGGAACCUUUUUGUGAUUGUCAAAGACUAUAUAUGUAUGUAUUCCUUUUUGUUGAUUGGUUGGGUUCUUGUUGAGGUUGUAUUAGCCCCUUCUGUUGGGUUGUUCUUUUUCCCCUUUAUGCCAUUUUGGCGGUGGUUGUAUAUGUAUUGUAUACCUUGAGUCAAUCUUUUGGUGCCUCUUCUUAUAUCUUCCUUUUUAUCUAAAAAAAAAAAAUUCCUUUUUAUAUUUUUCUGUCAUCUUUUAUUCUUUUCACCUCAUUCUAUAACUUAAGAAAUCGUAUAUUGCUUGAAAUUUUAAGAUUGUGCAAUAUGUUUGCUUGAAAUUAUAGGAUCUCAUUAUAUCAUCUCAGCCCCUUUUUAACUGCAACUUUGCACUUUUUGACAUUAGAUAUGAUUUUAUUUCAGACAAAAUCAGGCCUUCUGAUGUAGGUCUUGAACAGGAGGCACAAUGUGCACGGGUAUGGUCAGGUCCCAUGCAUCAGUGUAAUGGCAGCCAUCCAUCACUACCACCAAUCAAAUACCUGCAUUUACAUGAGUGUGACAGCUUUUCUGUAAGUAUUUGACUCUAGGUUUUCCAUUGUUAAUAGAAUUCAAUAUUUUACACCUGGUUUUCUGAACUUAGGUUAUGUUUGGUUCUAAAAACUAUGAGGUAAAGGAAAAGGAAGGGAAGAAAAAGGAAAGAAAGUGCAAGUUUAAGUCCGAUACAUUUUCCUGCAUCUUUCCCCUGCUCUAUUGACCUUUCCCUUGCUGUUUCCUCGUCCAGACAGGCCCUUAAUGUUCUGAAACUUGAAAGCUAGAUAACAGAGACUCACUGGUUUUUGAAUUUUCUUGCAGAUAGGAGUCUUUUGCAUGCCACCUUCCUCUAUUAUACCCCUUCAUAAUCAUCCUGGAAUGACUGUGUUGAGCAAGCUUCUAUAUGGUUCAUUAUAUGUAAAAUCAUAUGAUUGGCUUGAUUUUCCUGCAGCUGCUGAUCCAUCACAAGGUGUGCUUUUUUUAGCAUAUCAUAUCUCCCACUUUGAUUAUGACAAAUGGUGCUUUGAUGCUUUGAAAUGACACUCAGAACUAUGCUCUUGUUCCUUCAAAAUCAAGUAAUGCCCUGAUUCUGGAAUUUUUAUUUUUCAAGUAGGAUGUUUAUUGUUGUUGCGAAGUGAAAUUGUUUACAUGAUUGUAGGGACCUUCCUUCCUAUGUAGUGUUUGUAGGGUGUUUUAGGCUUUUGGAUUUUCUUUGUUCUUUGUUUUGUUCUUUUCUUCCUACUUAGCUUGGAAUAUGGCCUAUUCUUCAUCAUACCCUCUCUUUAUGUUAAUAAAACAUUUGUUUCCUAUCAAAGAAAAAGAUGCCAAACCACUGUAGCAGGGAUGUUCAUUCCACUGCAGUGAGUUGCUGUUAAUGCUACCAUAGCAGUGUACUGAAUGAGGAUUUUGCAUCCUUUUGUGAGUCCUUAUUAUGAACUCAAAACUAGAGGUUAUGAUUUUUUAAUUCAAGGGAUCUGAUAGAUUAUUUUGUGUUUAGUGUUCAGUGGUUUAUAAAAGCUUUGUACUCGAGUUAUUAGUUAUUUAUUUAUCUCUUUAGGUCCCAGAGGAAUUCCACUAAUUUAAUGAAUGAUCAAGGAGUAUUUUUAUCUUCAAACUGUGAAUGGAUUUGUUGAAUUUUGUUGGAAAAUUUGAUAGAAGCCUUUUAAGAUUGGGCAGCUACUCUGGUGAGGUUUAUUGAUAGGCAUGACAUGAUGAAUGAAACGAGUUUGAUUUGCUAUUAUGAACCUUACUCAUCUUGCUUAGAUUUCAUGGACGGUUGUAUGGAAUGUAUUUGAGAUGCAGGAUAAACUCUUAUUAUUAGUUUUAAAGCAAUGAAAUUAUGGAUAAAACAGAUGUAUUACAGUGACUCAGGAUGAGCUUUUUGGUUAGCAAACAACUCUUAGAUAAGGAAGCACUACAGUUGUUGCGUACAUGAACAAGGUUUAAGGAUGUAUGAAUUCUAGGUAGGGGUGUUGAUGAUCCAAGCCAAACUCUCCUCCAACCUAAGUCAGGAUUGCAAGUGUCGCUAAAUGGUAACACAUGUCUUCAAUUUUGACGAGUUGUUUCAAUUGGCUUUUGUGAUUGAGAAGAAUAUGAAGUAGAAUCUUACUAGACUGUUCUCAAGUCUGCUAGAUAAACCCGAAAAAUUUCAAUAAGGUUUGUAGAGGCUUUUAUCCUCCUCAGUGCAUGGUAACCUCCAUGCAGGCUUUAAACCUCAUUCAAUGGAUGACAUCAACACCUAAUGGAUUUUUGAAGGGAAAAGAGGGAUGGCCUUUGCAAGUGUUGAGAGGACCAUAUGCAUGUUAGUACUAAACCACUGGGGGUACCUGAUUUAGACAAUGAUAAUUUGUAGUGAAUAUCUAAGUGUGUGCUCUUUGAUGUUGAUGUUGUCUAAAAUUGGGAGGUAGAUGCCACUCUUCUCUCUGUUUUAAGUUCUAAUACAUGACAGGUGAAAAAAAUAAAAAUAAAUAUGUUUGUAUUGAGAUGAUGAUUUUUGAUGUUAUGUCCUAGCCUUACUGAUAUCUUUUGGGAGAUCUUUUAAAUGGUAACUUGUCCUUUUUUGACAAUGUGCCAGUCCAACAAAAAGCAUGUCACCAAUUCCAGGCUAAAAUUUAUCUUUGACAUAAUUUUUUCUUUGUUAUAGGCUAAUUUUUCUUUGGUUAGUUUCUUAUGCAUAUUUUUUUAGAUUAAGCUUGAUUUUUAAUAUUAAGAUUGAGAUAAUUAAGCUUGAUCAUGCUUGAUUUUUCUAAAGCUUGUAGGUUCCCAAAGUUUGUCUAUUUUGUUGUCUUGGAUAGAUCACCUAUGAGGGGGGCAAUGUGAUAGGCAUUGCUUAGAAUUUGAACAUAAUGGAUAGGUAGAGAUGUAUUUCUAAGCUUCUAGGUGAGUUUUUAGCACCUUGACAUGGUUGCACAACACCAAGGCUUCAUGUGGUGGCACCUUGCACCCAUUAAGUGCCUAUGACAUGUGGGGAGACAUGUCAUGCACGAGGCAAGGUGAUGAAUGAGGCUAAGGAUCAUGUCAAGGCUUGGUAGUGGCAGCACACAGGUGUGCACAAGCAAGGCACCAUGUGGGUGGCUUGACCUAACAAAAAUUCAAGUGCGGGAUUUUUUAUGAUGGAAAAUUUUCCUUUAAAGAGGAUGCCUUGAGUUAGGGUUUCCAAGUGACAAAAUGAUUUUUCAGAUUUUCUAUUUUUUUAGAAAAUUCAUUAUGCUUGGUCAAACAGCUAUGAUAUCUCCUCCUAACACUCUGGGAAUGACUUAAAACGUUCAAGGAGGGGGGUGGCCCACUAAAGGGUGGUGAUGGUGACAAAUUAUGCCACAUCAAGAGCAUGACAUGAGGGCAAACAUGAGCAAGGAUUGAUGGUGAGCCUUGCUAGCUUGCAUGCAUGAGCGCAAUGCCAUGUGUGGUGCAACCCUUGGGCCUUAAUAGGGGGUUGCGGUUAUGGUGCAUGGCAUGAGGAUGCGUGCUUCGGUUGGAAGGAUCUAUGUGGUUAGCAGACACAUGGACGAUGAGCUAAGAAGAGGACUUAGCACCAAGGCAAGGUUGCAUAAGCAUGUGGGCCAAGAGAGGGCUCAAUACACAUGGACUGCCUAGAAACACAAGUAACAGGUUGGGUGGCACAUAAGGCCACCUAGACACAUAAAUGGCAUAAAUGGGCUUGAUGUUCGUGGGCUCAACAAGACGCAUGGGUUGGCACUAAGCAUGACACCUGUAGCGCACCUUGGCAUUGAGGCAAGCCCAAGUAAGACGAGGAAUGGGAGAUUGACAACUGAUAGGCUGAGAUGUGCUAGACACUUGACAUGAGCCAAACAAAUCUUUGCAACACAAGAGGCAUGUGGCAAGCAAAGGUGCAAGCAAGCAACUAAGUCCGUAUGAUAGAGGCAUGACAAGAGUGGGUUGUUGAGUUUGGGAACAGGUGGCAAAGUUAGAGGCAAGCAACACAUGCAACUAGACAUGUGGCAAAUGACUGAAGCCUUAGGAUAGGCUGAAGCAUUUGAAUUCAAAAGAGUCAAUCUCCUAGAUGAGGGGGAGUUGGUUGGCUGAUGGAUGCCUCUAUAAAUCGUGUGCCUACUAGUCAUUCUCUGCAUCAACUCACCAAAGAGAUUGUGGGAAUCUUGUUAAAAGAACCAGGGUUGUUCCUUGUAAAUUCUGUGGAGUAAUAUACAAGUUAGAGUGUUACUCUGUAAUCUUGUGUGGGCUGUGUGAUUUUCCUUGUUGCAUCUCGUGCAGGUCUGGUUAGAGAAGGUUGGCUUAAAGGGUUUUUAAGAUCCACACAACGUGAAAAAGUAGUGGGGAAAUUUUGUAGUUGUGACAUUAACCAAGUAAUUUAAAUGAAAGAUUCAAAGCUUAUGAAAAGGUCUAGACCAGCCAUGAUUGAUGAUACACGGUUGGAUGGUGAAAAAGCAUAUAUGAAAAUGAGUGGAACUGAAAUAAGUUGUUGAGCUGGAUGAGUAACAAGUUCAAAGUUCAUAGAAUGGGAAAUUAAUGCAAUUGUUUGAACCUGAAACACCACUUUUCAGUGACAGAUGAAGAAAAGUUGAUGAGAUGGACGGUUAUUUAAAAUGGACACGUUCCAUUAAGUACUAAGGUGCAAGUUGAAAGCUCGGAAUGGAUACUGUGUUGAGGAGAUAUUUGUUAUCUAUUAUUUUCUUGGUACUUUGUGAAUUUCACUUAACAAUAGUCAUGACCUUCAAUAGGUAGAAAUGGGAGAUUGGACUGAUCUUAGAGGGUUGGAACAUGACUUACUCUGGACCAUGUUGUAUCAUAGUUUAAUGUUGAUUAUAUUUAGUUGGUUUUCACUUGUGGGAUUGACAGCAAAUAUUACAAUUGAAACUGCAUUUUGGUUUUCGUUUUUAUGGCUUAAUUGGCUGUUAAUUUUUUUACUGAAAUGUCUGUAUUUUGCUCUGUUACUUGUUUUAUCUUCUUUUUACUAAGGUUUGAUUGUUAUAUGUGCAGCAAGACCGGCAGAGCUUGUUAGGGAUACUGAGAUGACAGCGCCUUGUGGGACAACAAUCCUUUAUCCAUCGUCUGGGGGCAACAUCCACACUUUUGAAGCUGUAACUCCCUGUGCUAUCUUAGACAUCCUGUCUCCACCUUACUCUUCAGAGAAUGGGCGUCAUUGCACUUAUUUCCGGAAUUCUCCAAGAAAGGAUCUACCCGGUAAAAGAAUUUAUUUUCUAUUAACCUGGUUCAUUAGCAUUUAUUUUUUACAUUUCCUCUCUGAAACAAAAGGAUUUGCCUUUUGAUUGUUCCUCUCAACUACUAACUCUUUUUUAUUUGUGUUUAAAUGAAGGCGAACUUCAGUUGAAUGGAAUGACCGUUUCUGACGUGACUUGGUUAGAAGAGUUUCAACCCCCUGACAACUUUGUGAUUAGGAGGGGGCAGUACAGGGGACCCGUCAUCAGACGUUGAGAAUUCUUGUUUUGGGUGUGCCGUACAUUUGAAUGAAUUAGGAUUUUCCAUAUUAGGAAACAUUGGGGGGAAGCUCUGGUAUAUGGGUUGUCAAUAGCCUUGGCAAUAAUUAAUCUUAUUGGCUAUAUAAGUUUAGGUAUUUGGAAUGUACAUAUUUAUAUACCAUUAUAGUACUUCCAUUCACUGACCUCACCUUUAACUAGUGGAACAGUCACCGGAAUUUGUGAGAACUUGUGUCUGAUAAAGUUCUUAUGGGGAAUUUUUCUCCCAUUGCAAUAGGCAGAUGCAAUCUUUUUGUCGCCCUAGUUAAGCAGCUGGGUGUAGAACUACUUUCUAGUCCUUAAAUCAUCUUGCGUUGCUCAAGCUCAGCUUUGUUUAACAGGUGAAAACCAAAGCUCAAUUUGUCACCUUCAGUUUUUUCUGUCUCUUAUGUUUUGGAGAAGUCAGACCGAUGAUUGGCCUGACUAAAUAACUAAUAUGUUAAAGAUCUGCGCUGUGAUCUAUAUCAAUGCCAAUUAGUAAUUGAUAUAUCUUCACAGAGCUCGGGUUUUGACACUUUCGAGGCCAUGGCUAAGGAGCUAACUGAUGUGUUUGAGCUCCAAGUAUCUAUGCACAGAAAGCUACCUUGGUUAUCAGCAAGAAUUAAUUGCCCUGUAAUUUAAUCUGAUGCUGAAGUAAAAAUUUGGGAUUGUUACAUAAAUGUCCUGGACCAAUUGCUAGUGGGAAAGAUUGCAAACUCCCCAAUCUUUAGAAUAAAAAGAAUGGAUUUAAGUUGUUUCUUAAUACAGGUUGAGGUUUUAUAUGGUAUGUUGUUAAUGAUUGUUGUCAUGACAUCAUGUGAAUCCAUUAACCUCAAUGCCAAAUAGAGGUUUAGAGAUUUAGGAUUGUGUGUGCUUAUUUCUUGGCAAGGGUUUAGGGUUGAUAUGGGAUGUAUCAUUCUUCCAAAUAGGAUCACUAAAUUAGGCAUUUGCCUCAUAUUUACAUGAGUAUUUCAAAGAUUAAGAAUGAAUUCAUAUAGAUCAGAACGUUCCAAUAGCAAUUCUAAAAUAAAUGAUAAAAUCAAUAUAAAUGGACUAAAAGAAAUUGAUCAAAACCAGUAAUGGUAAAAAGAAGAAUCAUACUCAAAUUAGCUGAAAAUGAAGGAAAACAACAAACAAGAAGCAGCAACAGAUGAGUAAAACCAUACCAAGUUGGUUGAAGGCAAAGAUUGAUGAAGAGCAUUUGAAUGCAUCACCCUACCAAGUGAACCAGAAAGAGCCAAACUUUGAUCCAAAUAAUGAUGUGGGACUUUGGGUUUUAAUAGAAGGGCAAUGGGUUUAAGUUGCAGACCAGAAACAGUGGUAGCCCAUGACCUAAAAUUACAGUGGGCUGUGUUACAGGAGGUUCAUGGCACUCACACGUUCACAUCAUUCUUUUUUCUCUUCUUGUUUUUGUUGUUAGUGCAAAAAGUAAUAGCUGAGUUGACCAAAUUUGAGAUGUGAUUGGUGGGAUUCUCAGCUAAAGACACUUGAAACCUACCAUUGGAGCAAUGAGCAUUAGUGAAUUACUUCCCAGAUAAUUAUGAGAAGCAGUGGAUUAUAAAUACUGUCAAGUUGAACGUGGAGUGCUGAGCCAUACCGCGGCUCACCUGGUUUUCAUGCUGCAACUUGGAAUUAUCAAAAUGGAAAAUACAAAGUGGUAGUUAUCUUGAUGGGAGGGUGUAGUUGAAUGAAGUUUGGUGUGACCCAGCAUCUAAGCUUACCCUAGGCCACCACUGGCCAAUCAUGGGUUUCAGUGGCUAGCUAGCCAUGUGGUUGAAUUCUCACCCGUGAGUCUGAUUGGUUGAUGGCAUUGUCCACAGAAUAUCCAGGCUCAAUGAACCAGCAUCUUGUUGUGGGAACCUAACACAAGAAUGUGCUUGUGUCACUGCUCAUGAGAAUUUCUUUAGUCUCAUCCACCACUUCAAACUCAAAUUUUUUAGAACGUUCUAAAAACUGUUUUGUUAGUUACAAAACCCGUUUUCUAAGUUAGAAAACUGGUUUAAUAAAUUACUUAUAAAAGCAGUUGUUUUAGCAUUUGUAUUUUGAAAUAUUUUUAGUUAUUUUUUAUAGAGUUUUUUAAAAAAAAAUUUUAAUAAUAAUUUAAAAAAUAGAUAAUAUUUUGAAAGCUUUUGUAUUGGACAUCAGUGUACAAUACUCUAUGGAGAAUAAGCUGAGAAAUUCCUUUUUAUAUGUAUAUUAGAGUUUUCAAACAUAAUUUUAUUCAUUAAAAAUAGUAGAUAAAUAUUUUCCAAAACGGUUCUAAAAAAAUAUUUUGAAAAUGUUUUCAAACAAAUUCUUAAUUUCUAACUGUCUUUUCUUUUGCUAUUUGGAAGUAGGUUUUUAUUCAUGAAAUAUGAAAAUUAAGAAAUGUUAAACAAAACUAUAUAUAUUAGGGAGUUUGUUCAAGAAAAAUUUGUUUGAUUGAGCAUUUCAAUGUUUGAAGACAUAAUUAACUUACACUAGAACAAAAUUAUAGAUAGUGGUCUUCUACACCACUUUUUGGGCUUCAAAGUUCACCAUGUUCUACAGCACAAGAAACUACACCCAUGGUAUGGUGGGCUGCUGCGUACAUCCUCUUGACUGGUAUUUAGUUUAUAACUUUCCACGUGAUGAUUUCAGCCCAUUGUGCAUGACCAGCCCAGAGGCAGAUGGACAGUCAAGAGUCAAGAGUACUCCAAGAGAGAGAGGCAGUGGGCAGUGGCCACAAGGAAAAGAGAAUUUUUUGAGAACGUAAAUUUGAUUAUAAAAGGGUUUAAAGUUUAAGCUAAAACCCAGAAGAGGAUAAACAUUAAUGAGCACACUUCUCAGUUGAAACAAGCCAAUUCACUUCUUUUGGUGCUAGUUUCCAUGCUACUUCUUGACUGAUUCUUACCCUAAGAUUCAUCUCCCUCCUUCCGCAAAACAUGGGCAUGUGAUCUACAACACAUACAUACAAACACACACACAGAUCGGAUACAUUGCCUAUGUUCGCGGCGACACUUUAGCCAACACCAAGCCAUUCACACCUAGAUUCUUUGCAUUAUAGCCUUUUUAUAUGGAGUUUAUGAAGAAAGAGAUCAGUAUGAUUAUUCUCCAAGUCCAAAACCAGAUGGGUGUGUAAGCUUCCCUCAUUCUAUUUUACUUGCUUUUGAGAUCUCUCUCAUCUUAAUUUUUAUGCUUUGGGAAUAUUUGGCCAUUUAUUGCAUGUGUUAGCAUUUUGGUUUUUUAAAUAUUGUAGCUAGGAGUUAGGUUUGGAGGUGUUUAUAUUAAUAAAACACCUAGAAUAAUGCUAGGUUUUCAAUUAGAGUCUGCCACAUUGUACAAAUAACUUUAAUUUUUACAAAAAUAAAAAAUAAAAAAUUAUGAUUCUUUUAAUGAAGACUUUAUAAACUUAAUUGUUUUAAUUUCCAAGUGCCUGAUAACCCUAAGGCUAUAUGGCAUUGAUGUGAUUAAAGGGUGGGUAGGAGUUGAUCAUCCUUUCAUGAAUUCAAACUUGGAUAGUAAUUGGGUUGGGUAUAUUAUGUCAAUGGAAGUCUGCUUCAUCUCUGCAGGUUUGGCUAGCAAAGACUUGCAAGCUCAAAAAAGGAGUUGGCACUGAUCAAAGACUAGUACUCUUAUAGACUAAUUGGUUUAUCAGCAUCGAUUGAUUGGUUCAUUAGAAGGUCAAGUACAUUCUAUGAUGAUAACAUCUAUAUGAACAACAUACUGUAUGUGCACAAAAAUCAGAUUAGAUUAAACAAGUUCUAAGAUCUGAUUUAUCUACCAUUUUCAAUUUGGACCUCCAAGGCCUCGUUAUCGGUAUCGCAGAACCCAAGUGGCUAAAAACAAAUGUGUAUAAUAAACUAUCCAUGGUUUUUGGUAGAACGACAUAGCCUCGGUCUCCAUCCUGCUUCUGUAAUUGAGAAAGUAUGAUGGAUGAAGAACGUCAUCAUUUCUUGCAACUUUCAUGGGCCCUCUAUGUAUGAAUUAUAUUAUUCUUUCAUUGUUUUAUCUUUUUAGUUUAUUAAUCUUGGUGACAAGGGAUCAUAACUUGCUAGAAAUGGCUACUGAUCUUGUUCUUGAAGCUUCACUAUGACACGUAUAUAUACCUAGUUUUACAUUAUAGAACCCUAUGAUAGAUACAAGCUGAAUCGACAAUGCAUGACACUGAAGCAUGGUGAUUAUGAGAAAUAAUAUUAAUGCUUGUAUGUACAGACCUAGUUAUUGAGUUUUAAUUUCUAUCUCUUUAUUUUUCUUCACAUAUAAUUUAGAUUCAUUAUAGAUUGUCACCGAAAUGAAAAUAUAUAGAUGAAAUUUGCAACUUAGUGGUGGUUUGAUAAACUAAUUUAAUAACUUAAAAUGAUUUAAUAAUUUAAUUCAAGUCAUUAAAUAAAUUAAGGUAGUAUUUGUUUUUUUGCUUUUUUGUUUAAAGUAGUUUGUUUUCAAAAUUUAGGUAGUUUGUUUUUCUAUUUUUUUAUGACUUAUUAUAAACUUUUUAAUAAAUAGAAAAAACUAAAAUAUGUAGUUUUUUUUAAUUAAAUAGAAAAAAUAACAUAUUGGAUUUUUUUACUUUUUAAUACUUAAUAGAAAUAAAAUACUACAAAAAUAAACAAUCUAAUAUUUAACCACUAUUAAGGAUUAAAGUUCUAUUUAGAAUUAAGUAAAAAAACAAGCACCAUCUAAGUAUGUUUAGUAAAAUGAUAACUUAAAGUUAAAAAUAAUUUUAAGUUAUAAGUAAAAACGAUUAAUCCAUUUUUAAGUCUACAUAUUUAUUUUACCUUCAUUUAUCUUAAUUAUUUUCAUGAUCUCCUUUGUUUUUUCAUAACCUUCACUGUUACUCAAUCUUUUAUACCCUAAUUAUAAUUUAUGAGGAUAAAUAUGUUAAUUUAAAAUUUUAAAAUAUGUUUUAAGUUAAUUUGAUCAAACAAACUUAAUACUUAAAGUAAAAUUAAAUAAUAAAUUUUAAGUUAACAACUUAAAUUAUUAAGUAAUAAAUGUUAAGUUUUAUCAUACAUCCCUUACUAUAUCUCUAAAUUUUUGGGUUGAGUGAAGUGAAAAUAGGACAAAUUUCAUGUAACUCAAAAAAUUAGAAGUGGUUUAUGAAAUUCUUCUUGGCGUAGGUUUUGGUCAUAGAUUAUUGGAAUUGGAAACCUUUUGCAAGUGGGUUCGGGGGAGUUUCUAUACAGAUUUACAGAGAAAGUAGUGGAUGGAAAAUGAGGCAAAUUCAUCCAUGAAAUUUAGGGCUUGAUGCAGUAGCUAAGACAUACAACUUUGCUAAUGAAACUUCCUCAUCUGGCGUAUUAGAGCGCAUUGGUGUAUAUUCCACCAAAGAUUCUCCGUUUGGUUUGCCGAUGCAAUAGAAUAAUGAAAAUGUCAACUCCCCAUGCAGGAGAAGACAAAACAUAAAUGGGUUAAUCGGUGAUUAGGGAAAGAUGAACAAUUCCUUAAUUAUUUUCUUAACUACACAAAACCCGAUUAACCCGAUUGAUUAAUUUCCUCACCUCUCCUGCAUAGCCUUUACCAUUCAAACUCUUACUUUAAUCCUUCGAAUAUUUGUCUUCAUUGCCUUAUUGGAAUCCAUGAAUCUUUCUCUGUCUCUCUCUCACACACACACAUCUUCACACAUAAAAAUGUAUUCACACAUACCUAUAGUCAUAUUAAUAAAUGUCACACAUAUCUAGUCAGGUUUCGAGUGUCUUUUAGCUAAACCUAAUCCCUUCAAUGAUUCCAAUAGUGACCUCUUCUCUUUCCAAAGACUAAAUAAACAAUCUCUGUCGUGUGAGGACAAAAUUUUCAAAUUCUACCUAAAAUGCCUUGGAAAGUAAAUCCUUGGACAGUAGGUAGGAAAAUAGAGAAAAAAGACAACAUAAGGGUAUAACUAAUUAAUGCUUUAUGGGAGACAACAGUUCUCUCUUACCUAUCAUCUAUCAUUCUUUCACUUUUUCCCCUUCUAUAACUUGUACUGUCUCCUUCAAUUUCUAGACCAAGUGUUGGGUGCCUCAACAUUACCAGCUGCUAGCAUUUUUUAUUUUGCAAAUUAGAUCUUUGGAAUAGGGUGAUUCCAUACUAAUUUUUGGUUUAUUAAUGAAUAUAUUUUCAUUAAUUUACAAAAAAGAGCAAGAUUGUUUGUAUUCCCUUUUAUGAACUUUCUGAAUGUCUUAAUUCAAAAACUCUAUUUUAUUACUUGGCAUGUACUUUAAGCAGUGUAAAGGACUGGAAGCUCAUGAGUGGAGUGCAAACAUUUAGGAAUACCCUUUUCUUUGAUCAUUCAAGUAAUCAGGAGAAACACACAUAAAAAGGUAGAAAAUGUUUGUUGAUUCUCUUUCCAAGGAGCUCCAUCUAUUACCAAGAAGUAUGACUAGCUAAGUAUGAGCUUGCAUACCACAAAACAUAUACCUAUUUUUAAAUAUUGGAGUAUGAUCACAAUGACUGUGAUGUGGGUCUCACUCAAUAAUUUAUCUAGUGAGGAAAAGGUUUAUAUACAUAUACUAAAAUCAUUAUCAUUUGCUGGGAGAAAGUUCACCGUCUUGUAUUUAUUUAUUUAUUUUCUGUAAAUGAGCUUAAUUAGUUAAAAAAUAAUAUCAUGAAGGGUUGUAUUAUGAUCUUCUAAUAAUUCACUAUUUCUUUUUGUAAUUACGUAUAAACUGGUUCUUGAAUUCAUCAACACUUCUCUUAUAAGAAUCCCAAUAGAAAAAAUGCCAACAGAUAUUUUUCUAAAGGUUGAUUGAUGUUGACACGUGAACUAAGAUUCUAGGUAGCAGAAGGCUAGUUUCUUGGCUAAUAUGGGGUUUCAUAUAUAUACCAGUUCUCAUUAAUUUUCAGCUACUCAGAAUCCAUUCUCUAAACAUCUUAGCUUCCAGUUAUUUUGUGCUCAACAAAGGAAACUUUACAUAUAUGUAUGUUAGUUUAUAUAUCCAUAUAGAAGGAUGACAUGGUUCUAAAAACUUAAUAACUAGGCAAUAAAUCUUGGGUGGAUGAUCAACAAUCUGAGGUUUCAAAAACAUAUAGUUUUUAUUCAACCUUUGUUAUUUGCCAAUUUAUCCCUAAAUAAGUUUUAGGUAGGUAUUGUGCUCCGUGUGACAAGGAAUCUUUCAUAUUAAUUAUAUGACUAGAUAGAUAAUAUAUAUGCAUAUAUAAUCCCCUAGUAGAAUUGCCCAGCUAGCUGUGACGUAGCAAUGCUUAUAGGGAAACCUAAGACAUAAAUUUAAUCACAUCACUUAAAAAAAUCACAGUAAUUUAUUUAGUCCCUAAAUCAAUACUUAGUUUUCAAAGAGGUCUUGAGAACUGGUUGUCUUUGGCACCUUUUAUAUUGAAUUGUGCUUUGCUAGAUUAGAAAAUUAAUCAGGCUAGCUAUAAGUAGCCUUUACCAUCCAGAUAUCAUUUCCACAUCCAGAGAUUCGGAAUACAGUUCUUUGUGAGCUGUGCUGGCGAACACUUGGUCUGAAGCCAAAGCAUGAUUUCUGGUUAUAUAUGGAUUAUUAAUUAGAACCACUAGCAACAGUUAAUUUCAAUCAUUGAUCAACUAAAAAAUUCUACACUAAGCUGAAUCUUUAAAUUAGAAACCAUACACUUCUUUUUUCCUUUUAACUUGGAAAAGAUAGGUAGGUAAUACAUGAUCAGCUAUUGUUUUUAAUGUACUUUAGCUCUACAUACUUAACUGAUAAAACUCAUAAAAGAAUAUGUGAUAGUUCCUUGGGGAGACGUGGUUGAGUCUUAGCUUGCCUAAGACCUUAACUUGUGUCAUCACAUUUGGUCUCAUCAGACAUGACUCGAGGUGAGAAACCAUGAAUGAAAUUCUUUCUUCUCAUCUGCAGAUGUAUGCUACUGAGUCAUGUUAACUCUUACUGCAUCCAUGAUUGAUUUGUUAUUUGUUUUAUAUGUUUGUAAUCAGAUUUAGGGUUAUUGCCCUAAAACCUCACAAUUUUUUUUUUUUAAUAAAGCUGGAAGCAUUGUGUGCAUGUUUUUACCCACCAAAUUCAGACUAUUUUACAGUUAACAUAGGCUAAUUUGGCUGGCCCAGCACCAUGGAUAAUAAUAAGAUCUAUUCAAAGGGUUUCAAAUUUCCAGAUCAGAACAAUGAAUCAAAGUGGUGGGAAUAUAAACAACAUAAACUAAAGCCAUAGGGAACAACAAUAAGAACAAAGGGACAGAGAAAUAGUGUUAAAAUAUAGGAAGAAAGUCAUCUCUUGAAAUGGUUGAGCAAUACAACAAAGAGAGCAGUCCCUAGCAGAGGUCAACCAUGAAGAUUAUCACGGAUGAGAGAGAGAGAGAGAGAGGGAUGGACAAGCUGUCAAAGAAGACCAAAACGAGAAAGGCUCGAGAAGUCACAUGAUUUUCAACAGUUCAAGAGAGUGGUGGUGGCAUCUUAACUCGUAGUAUUAGUAUUGUUAUCCUAGUGUAAAAAGGACAAAGUGGAAUUGUCCGACCAAUGUCUUCCCUUUCUAAUAUAGUAAUUGAAGUCUUUAAGAAAUCUGAAGUAUGACUAAUGGCAUGAAGCUUAAUUUCAACAGAUUCCUAGCCAGAAAAUAAAAUAACUCCCCAGAGUUCAAUGCAGCCAAAUCAUCUCAAUGCAUAACACAAGAGUACCAUGCAGUAGAUCUCUCCCUCUCUCCUCUCUCUCUCUCUCUCUCUCUGUCUUAAGAUUUGAUCUAUUCUUCGUUUACUGAGUUGUUUUUGGUCAAUCAACAUAUCCAUCAAUUGAUACACCAGCGUGUCUCAUGUUGGUAAGUUCAUAUGAAUCAUCCUUUGAUCUACUUUUCAGAUGCAUGCUUUGGAUUUAUUUAUCAAAAAACUUCUUUUCUGUUGGUAGGGAAGCUGGUUACUUCAUGAUCCAUCGAUCUUAUUUGAAUCCAAUACAAAGUGUUCUCAAAAUAUAGGAAAUUUGAUACACUUACUGAUUCUGCCGCUACUUUUCAUCUGAGCAGUCCAAAUCGUGGAAGAAAGAAAGAAUGAAGCUCCAUCAUCAAUGGUUUGUACUCAAGAGAAAAGAUUAAAUCCUCUGUGCAUCCAAGUCAUUAAUUUCUUCAGGAAGCUUAGACCCUAAGGUUUUAUGUUGUAUCAAAUUUCAGGAUUUUAGAAGUUCCAUAAAUCAUUCCCUUUUCAAUCUUUGGCCACUUUUUCUUUUUCUUCCUCCCCACCUAAUUUUAAACAGUUUCUUAUCAUUUCCAGAAAAGAUGUAUCAUUUUCCUUUUGCAUUCAACAAGAAGUUGAUCAUCCAAAAUUUUCUAUUGCCAAUUCAUAUAACCAAGCUUACUAAUAGUAAGUGCUAUUUUGUAGCUAAAUAUUGCUAUUCAAUUGCUAUAAAAGCUCAAACCUGAAUUUCAGUUGAUGAUUCAAUAUAUUCCUCUUUAUAUCUGUUGAUUUUUUUUUUUUCUGGAAUUUUCCAGGUCAUCUGCAUUUCGCAUCAUUCAUUGUGUUGUUUUUAACAUUUCUGAAGUAUUACCACCUAUCUCUUAGUUUUGCAAAGCAUGAACUACCAUGAAAUGAAUUAAGAAGGCAAACAAAAAUAGAGUUCUUGACACCUUCUAAGGCCAUCAUCAUGCUGGAAAAUUUCUUCCCCACCUGGGCACAAAAAUAAAAUUGUGAUUCUGUGCAAAUUGAUGAAGAUGUUUAAAGGGUUUCUAGUGACACAUGUACAUACUGCUGCCGUAAAUUUUUUUCUCUUUAGAAGAACACACAUACUUAUGAAGGCAUUUUCAUGAAAUAAAUGCAUGGUGAAUUUGUUAGAGUUAGCAGUUGAUCAUUUGAUAUUACAUAUAUAUGCACAUUAGUUAAGCAUACAUUACUUCAGGGAUAAUAUCUUGGAGGUUUGUACUUGGGAAAAAUCAUUUUGAUAACAUGAUAUUCAUGUGUCAAAAGAGGCUUCAACAUGAAAUAGGAAGGAGUUUCCAUUGUUUUUUAAUUUUUUUUUUCCUUUGUCUUUGAAGUACAAUAUAAUGCCAUUGAAGGGAGCCUAGUAGGCUAGUACUAUGGAAAAUACAUGAACCAAUACUGUUCUAGCCUUCUAGGAAACUUAGAAUGCCAUUUUGUUCACUCCACAUUUUUUUUCUUGCUUUCAUUUUUAUUACUAAUAUUUGGAGGAAAAUUCUUAGAUUAAUUACUGCUCUUAAUUUUUCCCUUCACCACAUUAAUAUUUCUAUAGACAUUCAUAAAAUCGAGAAAUUAAAAUUUACAUUCAUUUAAUUACCAUUAUUCACUUAUUUAUAAGUAAUGCAAGAAUAAUUAGGUAACUAGAAAUUCAGGCAUAUUAGUUGAGUUUGAUCUCAAAACUCUCCUUUUUACAUUGAUGGGUUGCAUGAUGUAUUCCUUCUAAUGCAUCCUAUACAUUCAGUUUGUUUGCAUUUUUUUUAAUACAUUCAUUUAUAACAAUGAAUAAGAACAUUCAUAUUUGGAGUCAAGAACACAUCAUUUUGAUCAAUUAAUUCAUUUGGAAUGCAACCGAAGAUCUCUUUGGAAAUUUUACAUAUGCAUGAUCAUUUAAGUAAAAUUUGUCAGAAAUUAUUAAUUCCUCCUAUCCUCAUCAUUCUAAUGCAUUUGUUUUCUUCUUGCCUCAAAAUGUUAUCUAUCUUAAUUAUGCUAUACUUCUCAUCUGCCUAGCUAAUGCAAAUCAAUGAUUCAAAAUCUAACAGCACACAAGACUGUCCUCAACAGCCAAGUAGCUACCAGGAAGUCUAGAAGUUCAAGGCUGCGGGGAACUGCUAAAGAGAUAGAAUACUAUUAGCCAUGGCUGAGAGAAUAGAGAUUUCUGAUGAUAAUAGGAGUGAUGGAAGUGAAAUUCAAACCAAAACCUCAUCUCUAUUAUGUUUUCCAGGGCAUUUGUCCUUUGACUUGAAUCAAAAGGCCAUGGAUGAAGAGGAUAGUAGCACCACUGGUGUUCCUGAAAAUGAAGUUAAAGAGGACGAGACAUCAACAGAUGCUAAUUACAGUAACAGUAGUAACAACACAACUGUAGAAGGGAAAGAACGAACAACAGUUAGGCAAUAUAUUCGAUCAAAAAUGCCUAGGCUCCGUUGGACUCCUGAUCUCCAUCUUGCUUUUGUGAAUGCUGUUGAAAGGCUUGGUGGGCAAGAAAGUAAGUUUUCUUUGGGUGCAGACUUCUGAGUGUAUUUCCAUUUCAUCGUUCAGAAAUAUCAAUUGGAAUAGGGAAGAGAAGAAAGUUAUUGCUCUAUCAUCUUUGUGGAAUUGUUUUCCCAAAGAUUUUUCCAUCCCACACAAAUAACUGAAAGAAAACUAUUUUCUUAAUGUAUCAUCCCUUUUUUUACUUUGAUUUUGUUUGAAUAAAUGCAGGAGCAACUCCCAAAUUAGUUCUUCAGUUGAUGAAUGUGAGAGGACUUAGCAUAGCUCAUGUAAAGAGUCACUUGCAGGUAAUGAAAAUGACCCAAGUUGGUUAGGUUAACUCUGUCAACAUUUAUAUCAGAGCGACUAGUCCCAUUAUUUUUAACCAUUAAUAUUUUUGCCUUUGUCCAUUUUCCUGAAUUUAUGCAUGGUGAUCUUCAAAUUCAGAUGUAUCGAAGCAAGAAGCUUGAUGAUUCUGGACAAGGUAAAAUUUCAGUGCCCUUUUAGCAGUUCAACACUAUAUCUUCGGUUUAUAAGGUCUGUUAGUAUACAAUUUAAAGACAGGUUGACAAGUUGAUGAAACAAACUAGCCAAAACCACUGAUCAACAAAGUAUGACAUCUAAACUACAGGGCUUUGAUCACAUGAAUAGCUUUCACGCUAUUCAGCUGUAUCUAGCGUCUGGAUUGCAUCUUCAGCUUGAAUUGGCCUAUUUAUGGAUAUAAUAGGUCAUUAUUUGAACAUGACUUUCAAAACAAGAGUAAAGAGAAAAUGCUAAAAUUAACCAAAAGACAGUUUUCAUGUUAGAUUAGAGUUCGCUCAUUAUUUGAAGAAAGUAAUAGUAUCAGAUUCAUGAGCUCUUGCUGGUUUAUGAGCUGAUCACUAUUUUUCUGUUUUCCCUUAUUUAUUUGUUUAUUUAUUAUUAUUUUUAAUUUGUGCAUCUUUUGUACAGUUCUAUCUCACACGAGUAGACCGAUGUAUGUAAGAGAUCACAUUCUGGAGAUGUACCAAAGAGCCAGUCCUUACGGACACUUUAGAAUGGAGAACAGGAGCCACUUCUUUUCUCCUGUAUUGAGACAGAAGUUUGACCCCAAAGCUAGCUCUUCAAGGUCACUAAAUUACAACUCCAGUGAUGAGAAACCCAAAAGAACUUGUUUGGCAAAUGUUUUAGACAUAUUCCUAACUGAUGAUCUCUGUCCUUUUUCUCUCAUAUUAUAGAAACCAACAGUGGGCUUUCGAUCAUGAUGUGAGGCAAACAAGUUCGCUAUGGAGGAAGGAUUCUGAACUUGAUCUGAUGAGUACGGAUUGGAACAAGGACCGGUCAACAAACUCACACCUGUUUGAUGUAAGGGAUGGGGGAACAGGAAUUGUGCCGAUUCAUACUAGCCGAUUUCUUGAAGAGAAGAAGUGGCCUCCACGGGAGUUGAUCGAAAAUCAAGGGAAGGGUAGAAAUAAUUCUCAAAAUAUAUGUUGGGAUGGUUCCUAUUCUGAACUUCUAUUAAACCAAAUGCAUCCGAAGCCAAUUUCAUUUGGUGGCAAUAACUAUGCCAUGCAGCCUUCUAUUUGGAGUACCAAUCCCAGCAUCAUCAACAAACAACUUCAAUCCAACAGAUGUAAUCCCUUGUUCUUAUCAAAUAGCUUUGAACCUGAGUUUGAAUCCCCAUUUCGAGUCGAGGUAUUUAACAUAGAUCACUCUUUUCCAUAUGCUUAUAUCUGAAAUUGGUUAAUUGAACUGACUUGAUCUAACCCUUUUAAAAUGCAGCUCCACAGGUUACAAGAAAAACAACCCCAGAGCAUAAAUGAAAUGGUAUUGCAAGCAGAAGAAAGUGCCUUUGUAGACAGGUUUAAAGAGAAGAAACAGCUACCUGAUUUACAGUUAAGUUUGAGCCACAACUUUGAAAUUGGUAAUGAAGUGAAUAUUAAUCCUCGGGAAAGCACCAAAGAGAUCAGCACAAUGCUUUCUCUUUCUAUGGCCAACUCUUCGUCGAGAAAACAAGCACAAUCUAGUGAAAACAGAAGAGAUUUGGAAGUUAAAAUUUGGGAUAGUUACAAACAAGUGGUACCAAGGCCACAGGGCUGAGUACUUAUUAGGAUCUGACCAUGUAAAAUUGAGCAUAGAAGUGAGAUCUUUUAAGUACUUGUCUUAAAGGCCAAACUGGACAAUUAGUUUUGCUGCUCACAAUAAGGUAUCCCCAGUUGUUUCUCUCAGGUUAAAACUGGAUGAUAGUUGCAAGCUAGCAUUUUUUUUCUUUUUUUUUCAAUCUUAAAUAUUUAGUUCCUCAAUUUCAUCAUAUGGUUUUGCUGAAAUUAAUUAACAUAAAAGUUCAAAAUAAUAUAUACUGAAUGAAUUAACUGCAAUGCGGAGUAUUUGCCUACAUGUACUAAAGCUGUAAAUCAAGCUUGUCACUACAAAAAUGCAGCCUUUUGAGAUCUUUGCAAAUGGUUCAUUGCUUAGAUGGUGAGUCAGUUAAUAAGGAUGCUUUCUCAGGCAAAAUGAAUUUGUUGUCUUUCAUGGGUGCCAAGAUAUAUGACAAGAAACAAGCUCUCUUGCACUUUCACUUUCCAACUACUGAUUGCUAGUAUGGAAAUCUCACUUUGAAUAUAUACAGUCGUGUGGGUGUAUGUUUAUUAUGUGAAAUCCUUCAAUCAGUAAGAUUAGCAACUAUACACAUUCCUCCAAUUUUCCCUGCAAUGUCCAUUGUCCAGUCUGUGGGAUCAGUGUGAGCUAGCUAGCCCAUGCAUUAAAAGGCAAUUCCUUUACUGUGGAUAAUAAGUUGAAGAACAGAGCUAGGUUUCCCAACAGGUUAAAUACUGAAACGCAUAUUGGAAUAUUUAGAAUAGAUAGGUGUACAAAUGUCCUCAACUUUGUAAGUUUACAUCCCAUGCAUGUCACCAUGUAUAUCAGAAAAUAAACAACUUUUCCAAGUUAACAAAAUAGUACUUAACUUUGAUUACUGGAAAAAAUUAAGGUUUGGAUCCUUUCAAAUAACAUGUCUAAGGAUCAUGUGGACUAGCUAUUAGGAUUGCCAGAAAAAGAAAUGGUACUGAAUACUAAUAUUAGCUCAUAUAAAUCAGAACUCAGUUUCUUCAAAAAAAAAAUUUAUGAACAAGACCAGUUUCUUAGUUGGGGGAUCCUGAUAAUGUAAGGCUGGCUAGCUAGCUCUGCUGGGGCAUAAUGCUGCAUCAGCCUCACAUUGAAUCCGGAUAAUUUGGGUUGUGUCUUGACUGAGGCUCUUAAUUUAUAUGAAUUGUCUAAGGUGCUCUUUAGCACCUGAAGAAGUAUGAGUAGCAGUUCCUAUAACAUAGAUAUAUUAAUCUUAAUUCCAUGGUGUUUUAACUUUUUGUUAAACAAACUUAGUAGUCAAAACUCCAUAGGGAAGUACCUUGUAGAGAAAGGCUCAGAAUCAAACCAAGUUUGUUCUCUCUGCCCAGGAAUAUAUACAUGCUAUCCCCACCAACUGAUUGUGAUAUACAUUGAGUGGUAUGUCAUAUAAUUUAUGUUAAACAUCUGAGACAUCUACACUUUUCCCAUUUGAAAAAAGCAAUGAGCAACUAUAUAUUGAAAAAUGUCACAUAGUUAUAGAGAAAGACAUCGAGUUCAUAGCAGAAGCAUUUGAAAACACAAAUACAUUUCUUCUGUCUAACAAAAUCUGGGAUAUGCUAUGCUGAGCAUCUGGAAAGAGUUUCACAAUUUGAGAAAUUCUUUUAUAUACCAAUUAGAAACCUAUGCGCAUGAGUAUGAGAAAGGGGAAAAAGACAGUACUUCAUUAUAACUUAUAUUUUGUCCUCAACGAGUCCCUUUAAUUACUUCAUUAUAGCUUAUAGUUGUGCUCAACGAGCCCAGCCCCAAGAGGAGUUAAGUAGAAGGCAAAGCGAUUCAUUUAUUAACUUCCGAUAGUGUUUGUUAAAAGGCAGUCCAUAAGAACGAAGGGCUCACAAUCGUGGCCAGUUCCCUCUUUGUGAUGCAGAACGGGUGCAUGUUCUUAAAGGCAGAAAACACUGAGGCCAAGUAUACAAUAUGUGGAAAAACAGAUACGGUGUGAUGAGUUUAAUAUUAAAUUAAUUGGAUACCUUCUUUUGCUCGAACUAUGCUUGUGCUGUCCAGUAAAAUACCAUUUUCUUCAACAGAAUCCACCACCUCCACCUCCACCUCCACCUCCACCUCCACAGCCACCGCCGCCGCCACCACCACCACCACCACCACAGCCACCGCCACCGCCACCACAACCACCUCCACCUCCACCGCCACCACAACCACAACCACCCCCACCACCUCCCCCAUGCCCAUGCCCACCAUCCCCACCUCCACAUCCACCACCACCACCACCACCCAUGUUCCCCCCAUAAUUACUGCUAAAGAUUAUGCCUCCAUGGCUGCCGCCUCCAUGAAGGUGAGCAGCACUACGACGAAAAUCACCCUUUUUCUUGCGAGGUGAGCCAGAGUUGUGAUCACCACAAGCAAAUAUGACCAUGGAUAUAAUUGAGAGGGACAUAACGAUCAUGCAAAGCAAGAAUAAACCUCCGGAGCUCACAAGCACCAAACUCGCUUGGCCUGCAUUGCCAUCUCCUAUCACAAACUGUCUUGCCAUUUGCUUUUGUUUGGACCAGAGUUGAUAGCUUAGCAAUAUAUACAAAACCGGACACGUUUAUAAGCUAAUGGAAUUGUCUUUAUUUUGGUGCACUUAAACCGAUAUAUUAAUGCUGAGUGCUCCACUAUGUGGCUGAGAUUAAACUCUUUGUUAUCCCAAAAUGAAAAUUCACAAGCCGUCUCACCAAACUAAGCCCAACAUGAAGCUUCAAAGAACCUUCUCCAAGAGGAAGAAAGGAAAGGGGAGGGAUCUUAAUUCUUUAAAAGGCAUUUUAACAACCCUGGUAGAAAUAAGAUGAAGUUGAAAACGACCCCCAACUUUGACAUUUUGUUUCAAGUUUAGUCAUAAAGAUUUAAAUUGAAGACAUGAGGAUCGUUUGUGACAGAACCUCAUGAUAUUUCCAUGAUCAAACAUACAUCAAGGGCAUGGAAAUUACCUAUGGUUCUCUUUGCAUUAAACAUCCCAAUAGGUAAGAUUCUGUUUUGAUUUCACAUGUGAGGCCAUUAAAUGGCCAUGGCUUCAUCUGCAAUGUCUUGCUGAUUUUCAGUUUUGGUGAAUUCCAUAUCAUGCUUAAAAAGGUUAAUUAGCUUUGAAUUUUGAAGGCACCAGGAACCUUCAUGACACAGUCCUACAUUAUAGCAUUGCCAUUUCCAGGCACAAAAUUGAAAGGCCUUGUGAACCGCUGAACUAUAUAUAUACAUGCUAAUCUCGAAUAUGAUUCUGCUUUGACCUCAAGAAUGUGAACUAUUUUCACUUUGUUUUUUCCUUUCAUAUUUUAACAAUAUUUUCAAGAACAUUUGUCAAGUUAAUAUGGCUUUCAUUUCUUCUUGUGAUUUUGUUCAUAUGUUCCUAUGAUAAUCAAAUUGUAGACAUCUUUAUUAAGAGGUUAUUUGUUUUUUCUCUUUCCCACUUAAGUCUUUUAAGUAGUUUCGAAUUUAGCUUAUCACUUUUCUUUUUAAGACAAUCUUGUCUUAAGAGACAAAAACAAAUAUUUUAACACUUAUCUUAGUGCAUGGAAAAGGGGUUUUUUUUUUUUUUUUUCCUUCUCAUUUCUCUUUUCAAUUUUUAAUGCAAAUAUAAUUCCUCACACAAAAUUUUGAAGAUUGUAGCAAUUUAAAUAAGAAAUAAUUUUACUAUAAAUUGAAUUUCAUAAUUCUAUAAAUUCCUCCAAUUUAAAUGUAACCACUAUUUUUGCCUCAUAAUUCAUCCAAUGCUAAACAAAAUUAAAUUUGAUACAUUUUUUUUAGAUUUUCUCAUUGAAUAUUAAAAAAAAAAAACUAUAGAUUAAAAAAUAAUUUACUACAAAUUUUCAAAAUUAGACCUUUUAUUAUACAAAAAAACUAAAAUAUGAUAACAAUUAUUAAUUUUAAUGAAUUUUUUAAUUAGAACUUUAAAACAUAAUUCAUAUUUUUUUUCAAUUAAACUUUAAAACAUAAUUAAUACUCAUCUUAUUAUCCACUAGAAUACAAAAUUAGGAUUUGGUACUUCUUUCCAAAUUUAGAAUAAAAAAAUUUAAUGCAUUAAUCUCAUCGGAAUCCAUAUUUCCAUUACAAAUAAGUCUUGUUGAAUUCUACAAGAAGAUGCUUCACAGUAACAGUAGUUAACAAGUGAACAACCCAAAUGUCAUUCUUUACAUAUAUAUAUAUGUCUAGGCCAAAAACAUCAUCUUGAGUUUGCUGCAGCCUCUCAAGUUAUUUGCUAUUGGCAGCUAAUGAAGGAUGCUUGGAUGCUUCUCAGGCAAAAACAAAGUUGUUGCCUAGUUGGAAUAUAACAUGCUUUUUUUCUCUUCCUGCUUCCAACUAGUGAUUGCUAGCUAGCAUUGAAAUCUCAUUUCAAAAAUCUGUUUCUUUCUUCUUCUUCUUCUUCUUCUUCUUUUCCUUUGAGCCAUAAAGAGAGGUUAGCAACUAAAAACAUUCCCAUUGUUCUUUCUUCUUCUCCUAUCAUGCCAUGCAGCUAGCUAGUUAUUAUGAUUGCUGGGCGAAAAAUUGUCAUGUGGUCUUCCAUUUUUACCUUCUAUUUCAUCACAUAGUCUUCUCGAACUUUUUAAGAUCUAAACAAAACCUAAAAAUUGGUUUGAACAAGAUCUGGAACACGCAAUACUGAGCAUCUGGGAAAGGUUUCUCGGUUUGAAGAAUUCUUUUAUAUACUAAUUAAAAACCUAUUCACAUAAAUAUUUGAGAGGGGGAGGGGGGAAGCAAUACUUCAUUUUAACUUAUAGUUGUUCUCAAUGAACCCCAAGAGGAGUUAAAUAGAAAGUAAAGCAAUUCAUUCAUUAACUUAGGAUGGAGUAAAAAGGCAGCUCAGAAGAACUAAAGCCUCACAACCAUGCCCAGUGUGACGGAGAACAGAUGCAUGUUCUUAACAGCAAUUAUACAGAUUAUAUGCUAUUAAGCUUCAAUAUAUGGAAAAAUAGAUUAAUAUGGAUUCAGGGUACUAAUAUUAAAUUAAUUGGAUACCUUCUUGUUCGAACUAUUCUUGAGUAGUCCAGUAAAUUUCGGUACCAUUUUCUUCAACGUAUUCCUCCACAUCCGCCACCGCCACCACAACCACAACCACCCCCACCUCCACAUCCACCACCACCACAGCCACAACCACCCCCACCUCCACAUCCACCACAUACUAAAUCACCUUUUUUCUUGCGACGGGAGCCAGAGUUGUGAUCAGCACAAGCAAAUAUGACCAUGGAUAUAAUUGAGAGGGUCAUAAAGAUCAUGCAAAGCAAGAACAGACCCCCGGAGCUCACAAGCUCCAUAAGCCCUUGGUGAUCUGCAUUGCCAUCUCUUAGAACAAACCGUCUUGCCAUUUCCUUUUGUUUGGACUAGAGUUGGUAGCUUAUGGAAUUGUCUUUAUUUAAUUUGGUGCAUACUUAAACUGAUAUAUAUAAAGGCUGAGUGCUCCGUGUGUGGUUGAGAUUAAACAUUUGGAUAUCCAUAAAAGAAAAUUCACCAAAACUGAAUUCCAGAUCAUGCUUAAAAGGGUUAAGCUUUAAAUUUUGAAGGCACCAGGAACCUUCAUAGGGCACAGACCUGCACUAUAGCAUUGCCAUUUCCGGGCACAAAUUGAAAGGCCAUGUGAACCACUGAACUAUAUGUAUACAUGCUAAUCUUGAAUACGGUUCUGUUUCGACCUGGCGAAUGUGAGCUCAUUGAUGGGGUUUUGGUUUACUAUUGAUCAUGGUAAUAUUGGAGGUCUGACGAUGGACUAAAAGGAUGAUCAAUCCAUGCAAGAAAAACAAAAUUGGUUGUUAGUCUGCAACAAUCUGAUAAAGAUAUUGAGCCAAUGGAUCAAAAAAAAUAUCCUGGAGACUUCGUAAAGUGGAAACAAAGCAAAGAGAAAAAAAAUCUCAAGCCAAUUUCAUUUACGAAAUGAGAGAGCUCAUGUAUUUUCAGUGCAAGGAAUGUUCACAUAUGGAAUAUUGUAACAAAUACAAUUAUAUAUGUAAUAUGUAUAUAAUUUAUUAUAACACUUACAAUCCACAUUGAGAUUAAGAAACUAGGCCAUUUUGGCCAUGUUUUCUAUGCUUGUUUUUAAAAACAAUUAAAAAAAAAAACAAACAGGAUUACAUAUAAACAUAUGAUUAUUUAUUAUUAAGUUUUCUAAAAUGAGUUAACUAAUUGAGUGGAGUCUACUAGGGCUAUUAAUCAAUUAGGACCCUAUGGGCUAGAUUAAGUUUAAACUCAUGAUGGGCUUAAAUAACUUAAGCUUAUACAAGAGCCUAUAUAAAGCCACUUAGAGUUGAAGGUUAGACAUUCUAUACUCUUCCAUCGGUAUAGAAGAAAAUCCUAGCCUCCUCUCUCUCACUCCCUCCCAGCCACUCUACACUUGUGUAAGGAAGCAAGGAUAGAGCAAUUGUGUGGAAAACACACCUGGUUUUUGAGAUUGGUAUCAACAGAUAUAUUUUUUAGCACUUAAAUCUAAGUUUUAUUAAAAAAUUAUAUACACUUUUGCUAUGCUUAGAUCUAGUAGCCCUAUGAUCUUAGAAAACAUGAACUCAUGAUCUCAUCCUAGAAAUAACAAGCUGCUUGGUAGGUUUCAAACUCAUUGAAUAGAUUGUUAAGUGAAUCCAAUUCCCUUAGCUAGCAAUAUUCCUAAAGUUAAGAAGGUCAUGUGGGUUAGGAGAGUGAACUCAUUCAAUAAAGUAGUUUUCACUGCACUUAAAGCUAAAGGCCCUAGUGACUGCGGGUAUUUAAUUAUAGAUAUUUAAGGUACAUAAUAGGAGAUACGUCAUUCUUCACCACCUUUGAGAAUUUAAAUGGUGGUAAUAUAAUCUUUGGUUAUGAGAUUGUAGCAUGUGUACAAGGUAUGUAAGAGAUCUAUUACCCUACCUAAUUGUCCUUAGUGAUGCCCUUUAUAUUGAAGGCAUGGCAACAAAUUUGUUUAUCAUUAAUCAAAUUUAUAACAACCAUUUGGGUCUUAGAUCUUCCCAAGGUAGAUGUGAGGUUUUCAAUAGGAUAGGAAAGUGUAUCCUUACAAUUUUUAGAGCUACAGAUAAUUACUAUGCAAUAAAUCUAGCCCUAAUUAGUCCCUAGUGUGUAGUAACACAAAAAUUGGAUAAUGUAAAGUUGUGGUAUAGGAGAUUGAGAUUAGGACACUUUAACUAUAGGGAUAUAAUCAAGGUUGUUAGCAAGAAAUUAAUUUAAGGAGACCCUAAGCUUAGUUUGCCCAAUAUUUCAUUUGUGGUGAGUGCCUUAAUGGAAAAGAAGUUUAAAGGACACAUAAAAAGCUAGAUUUUUUGUACAUUGACUUUAUGGGUCUAACGAGGACAAAAAGCAUUGAAAGUAAAAAGUAUGUCCUAGCUAGUCAUGGCAGAUGACUUCUCUAUGUACACAUUUAUCCAUUUGCAAGAGAGAAGUCCAAAGCAUGUGACCACUUUAAAGUUUACUAUCUCUUAGAACUAAGAAUCCUAGUAUAAAGGUUUAAGGAUUGGUUGAAGCCUUGAAAUCUAAUGAACCCUCAACUUAGUUAGAGUCUCAAAAGAGUGGAUGUUGGUCAGCAUUAGGUUGAACCAUUAUAAACCUUGUUUUUGUAUCUCUUUUCCCUUCUCUCUAGUUAAUUUAUUGUUUGUUUAUGUUUUCAUUAUAGCUAGUUAUAGUUACUUGCAUUCAUUAAUCUAAAAUUUUGUAAAAUUUACCAUUACCCAAUUCACUUCCUCUCUUAGAUGAUUAACCUAACUUCAAAUUUAGUAUAAGAGCAAGGCCUCUUACAAAUUCAUUCCACAUGGAAGGGUUCUCAAUUAAUAGGCUCUCAUUCUUUUUGGAAUUGAUUAUCCUUUUUAGAAAAUAAGGAUGACCUACUUUUCGAAAUCCAUUAUUAAUUAUGAUUAAUGGGAAGUCAUCCAAAAUUGUCCUCGUAUUCUAACUAAAAUUGAAAAUGGGGUGGCUAUUCCAAAAUCUAGCCAAUAAUGGGAUGAGCUUGUCAAGAGAAAAGUUUAAUUGAAAUGUUAGAGUUUGAUAUUAUUUACAUUGCACAAUAGAUGAGAAUGAAUAUAAUAGUAUAUGUCAAUGCGAAUCCGCUAAGAAUAUUUCAAGGCUCUCAGAUAUUACCCAUGAAGGAACUAACCAAGUUAAGGUAUCAAAAAUUAAUAUUCUUGUGUAUAUUUAUGAACUCUGCUUUAUGAAAGAUAAUGAUACAAUUAUUGACAUAUGCAGUAGGUUUACAAACAUCAUCAAUGGACUUCAAUCCUUGGGGAAAGUGUACAAGGAAUAGGAUAAGGUCAUGAAGAUUCAAAAAUCUCUUCUAAAGAAAUAAAAGGCAAAGGUGAUGACAAUUUAAGAAGCUAACGGUCUUACCAAGCUUUCGUUUGAAGAUUUGAUUGGGUCUCUAAUGAGAAAUUGAAUCACAAUGAUGAGCCAUCAAGAAGUUAAAAGACCAAAAGAAGAAAAGUAUGUCUUUAAAGCAUUAACUCAUGAUGAUGUUGAAAAGCAGAAAAGUGAAAAGGAGAACCUUAAACUCAUAGCAAGGAAGUUAAAGAAGUUUAUAAAGUUUGAGAGAAAACAAAGGAAGGAGGCAACAUCCCAAGAAAGAAUCAUCCAAUAAUGAUAAAAAAAAAAAUGAAAAAAAAAAAGGAACUAAUUUUCUAUGAAUGCAAGAAGUCAAGACACAUCAAGUAUGAAUGUCAUCUCUAAAAAAUAAGACAAAGAAGGAAAAGAAGAAAGCUAUGCUACCAAUAUGAAGUGAUAGUGAUGAAUUCUUCAUGGAAGAAGAGUGUGAGAAUGAAGUUGCCAACAUGUGCUUGAUAACCUUAGAAAACCAUGGAGAUGAGGUAAACUAUAACUCAAGUUAUGAUGAAUUGCAUGAAACUUUUGAAGAACUUUACCUUGACCUGGAGAAACUUGGUACAAAAAAUGUUUUGCCUAAAAGGAAAAUUGUUUCUCUUGAAAGUGAAUUACUUGAAUUAAAAGAAAAUUUUGAUUUGUGUGAAAAAGCUAAAGUUUUGCUUGAAAGGAAAAUGAUGUGUUUGAGAAGAAAAAUGAAUGGUUGACAUCCUCCCGGGCUUUUGAUUUCAUUUUAGCUAUCCAAAAGUGUAUCUUUGAUAAAAAUGAGUUAGGCUAUAAGCCUUCAAAUUUUAUUUGGUGAAAAGCUUCUAUCGAGAGCUCGUCCACUAUUUACAACUUUUGUGGAAAAGGAGAUUACAUAAGUAGUACAUGUCCUUUACAAUUAAAAUACUCUCAUGUUGUGAAGGCUAUUUGGUUUCAAAAGAGAGAAAAGACUAAUCCCCAAGAUCUCAAGAACGUAUAGGUACCUAAAGCAACCUAAUUUGUUUUGUAGGAAUUAAAAAAUAAUAAAUGGGUCUUGGAUAGUAAGUGCUCAACGCAUAUGAUGGAAGAUGAACCAAAUUUUGUCACCCUAACAAAAAGAGAGGUAGUUUUGUGAUUUAGAAACAAUGUGAAAGGGAAGAUCAUUGACCAAGACAUUGUUGAUAAUGGUAACAUCUUUAACUAAAAAUGUUCUCCUUGUAGAUGGUUUAAAGCAUAAUUUAUUGAGUAUUAGUCAAUUAUAUGAUAAAGGUCUUAAAGUGUUUUUUGAACCAUCAUAUUGUAUCAUUAAAGAUAUUCAAAGUAAUCUAACCAUUUUCAUGGGUCAUAUGAGCGAAAGUGUUCAUACAAUUGAUAUUGAAAAAAUAAUGGUCAAUGAAUGGUUUUGCUCAUGCAUGAUGAUAGUCGUUGUAGCAUAGCGGGUUAGAUUAAAUAUAAAGUUUAUUUUAUAAUAAAUAUGAACUUGUUAAAGGUCACAUUAACAUGAAGGGUGAUUAUGACAUUCCACAUGGGUUAGGAGAAGAAAUUUCAGACAUUAUGCAUGUAAAUCAAUUUAAAAACCUUGAGAAUUUAUUAAUCUUAGAAUGGAUAAUAUCCACAUGAAAGGAACCGGUUGUCACAAGUGGUCUCUCUCUUUGCAUGAUGCUAAUGUGAGCCAAUGUAAAUUGUCUUACUUUUGUUGUGUACAACUUAAUUGAGUCAUUUGGAAAAGAACCACCACUACCCCGAUUUGUUGUCAUAUGUAUGACCUUGUCCGUUUUAACUCUAUUGAAUAUCACCAUAUUAGAAUGUAUAUACACAUUUUAGGAUCACUUAAUUUAACUAGUAAACCAUAUGAAAUCUCAAAUCGCCUUAGAGAAGAAGUUCCAAAAUAUAUAAACAAGUUUCAAAUUUAUGAGUGUCAAUUGGUCCAAAACAAAUAAUAUCUAUACAUGACAAUCUUGACAGACAGUUUCAGAGUCAGUCUCAAUCUUAUUGAUAGUAUAGACCAUGAUAGAUGUUGUUUAAAUCAAUCUUCCAAGCAAUAAAAUGCGACAAAUACCAUUAGAGCAUUAUAAUGGUUAGAGCCAAUUUGAAUUCUUGACAGUGUAUCAAGACAAUAUUAUCAAAGGCAACUUUUCCUAAAGGUAACAAAGCCAAUAUGCAUUCCUAACAAGAAAUAUAUCAUGACAACCCAUUAUUAAAAAGAUAAUAGAUUAUAACAAAGAUUAUCAAAGUCGAUCUUGGUCCGUAGUUCCCAUAAAGUGUGAUGUGGUGACUUUAGGUUUUUGAUUAAGGAUCUUAACAGAUAGUAUCAAAGACAAUAUAUCUGAGUUCAAAAGAAGAAAUUGAUAGAUGAUGAGAUCAAGGUUACUCAAAAGCUAAUUUGAGUUCCUACCACUAAUAAGGAGUGACUCUGAGCUCCGAGUUCAUGAUUGCAAAUCAUUACAAAUGACAUAGAAGCCAAUUCGAAUGAUGUAUAGUAACAAAUGGUAUGCGAGCCAAUUUGGAUUCAUGGCAUUAAUAAGGACAACUCCUCUAGAAUAUAUUAUGUAAUUUAGGUUGUUAUUACUUAAUAAGGAGUGAGUUCUCUAGACUCCUCUAAAAUAUUUAAAUCCUUUUUAAAGGGAUAUUAACUUCUUAAAGCGAAUACAAGUUCUUGACACUCAUAAAGAGUUACUCCUUUUAAAUGUGUAGUACUAGCUGAUAGGAUGAAAACCCCACCUUUUACUUGCCCUAAUGUGAUCUAUUAUGUAUAUGGAAAAUAAUUUUAAUAAUAUUUUCUCCCUUGUUUCUAGCCAUAUAUAGUUUCUCCUUGAUACUAGAAGUAAUUAAUUUCGGGGUCCUACCCAAAAUAUAUGUUCUAUAGUCUACAGAUAUAUAACAGGUUGUAAAAUAAGAAGAAAAAUACAUGUGAUUCCUACAUUUCAAUCUUUUGCUGAUUUCCUAACUCUUUGAUUCUAGCAAUAUGAUUUGGGGUUUCUACCCAAAAUAUACCAUGGCCUGCUGAUAUAUUUACACUCUUGUUUAUUGCAAAAUAAGAAGAUAAACAUAUAGAACAUCUCUCCUUUGGCUUGUUUCAUAAGCGAUCCACUUAAUGAACAAUAAUAAACCUUGACGACCUGAAGACACAAAUUGGAUGAAAUUGAAAACUGAUUCCCAGUUUCCAACUUUGGUGAGUUUCACCUUCAUCCAAAGUUCUAUUCAAGGUUGAUCUCAUAGUUAAAAUGUAUAAUUUUUACAUUUAAAGACAUGAGGAUCUUUUGACACAACCUCGUAUAUAUUACAACAUGGUUUCGCCAUUUCCAUGCUCAAACUGCAAGGGCAUGGAAGCUGCCGAAUGUGAGAAUCAACUUACCUUUUAGACGAUCUAAUUGUUAUGGUCACCCACUAAAAUUUCUUAUUGGUUUACAAACAAUGGCACAAGUAAUUUGUCCUCAGGAUGCUAUAUAUACCUCAAUUCUAAUGUGCAGAUUACAAUUCUAAUGACACAGCCUGAAUUAUUUCCAUGUCCCUACUUCAAUUCCGUGGAACACACCAUUUUCUUCAUGGCCACCUCCACCUGCAGAACCAUUAUCACAGCCACUACAACAAUCUUUUUUCUUGCAAGGUGAACAGAGUUUGGUGUGGUCCAAAAUUGAAAGGUUUUUCAGGAGCCACAAUAACAUUGAUCACUGCUUCUAUUAUUGGGUUGUAUUAAUAUUCUGCAGGAAACCUAACAAUGUCCUAAUUUUUACUUCACUUCUGUAUUUCUUGCAAAAACUACCCUAUUUUGCUGGAAAACUCUCAGUUUGGAAAUUGACAAACCAAUAAAAAAUCCUAGUGUUAUUUUGAAUGUCAUAUUCAUGAAUGGAUAACCCAAGAAACUGUGGAAAAUGUAUUCUGAAUAAUAUUGUAGGGAAUAUGUAGUUCAUAUAUAUUUCAAAGUUAACACAAGUUAAAAUUCUUUCUUUUUCAAUCUCAUGUGUUGAAUCAGCUUUCUGCAUUCCCAUCCAGAUCCAGUGUGAAUUUGCCCCACAAACGACAACUUUUCUCAGUCAUUUUAUAAAUGAUUAAUAUUUUGAAGUGGCAUUGCAGGUAGGUCAGACAUUGAUGAUGAUUUCAUACACCACAAGAGGGGCCAUUCUUCUGACACAACCAAUAUCACGUUACAGCCAUUGUAUUAACCAUUCCCAUUUAUAUGUUAAUUGAAGAACAUGGACUCCAUUGCCUCUGAAUUAAUAUUUAAUGCCUACAUGUUUUCUAAACUUUUGUCAGCUUAUCAAGAAUAUGUAGAACAAAAAUACCCCUUCAAGGUGCAUGAUCCCGCGAAUUACUUCUGAAUAAAUUAAGAAAUCAUAUGUAAGAACUAUAGCAUUUCGUGAUUCAUUGGUAAAUAUAUUUUGAUUCUCUAUCAACCAAUGAUGCGGUACCAUUAACAUGGUUAAAGCUAAACCGAACCUAUUUUCCCUUCAAACCAGCUCUUACUUUGCAUGUUAUUCCUUACCCUUCAACUUCAUUUGUUACCCCUCACGAUAGAAAAUGUAGAGCAUGUUUUCAUUUAUUCCAAGAGAACAAAAAGAAAACAUAAGAGAAAACGCACAGUAAGUUUCAUUCUAUCCUUCUUCCAUUGUAGUUCCUCAACUUUGAAAAUGAACUUUCAUGCCGUUCAACAUAUUGGAGUGAAAAGAAACCUUAAAUGCCUUGUUUCAGUUCCCUUUAGUUUUUUUAAAUCAAACCCUAUUUUUCAUCAUAUUGAUAUUGUGAGUUGACUUAAUUUAUGAAAAUAUAGGAAGAAAAAGAUUCAUUGAUGAAGAAUACCAAACCGAAGAGGUAUAAAAGUGAUAGAAAACGAUGCUCUAAAAACCCUUCAUCAUCAACAAAAAAUGAGAAUGAAUCAACUAAAUUGGUAGGCAUUAAUUUUCUACUUGAAAAUUUUGAUUUUUAAUUAUUUUUAAAUGAAUCUGUUUGCUAAGAAUUGAUAAUGUAUUUGAAUAGAAUUUUUAUAGAAUUGAAAUUCCAAUUUUUCUCUAUAAGGUUAUAAUCCAAGGUCCAAAGCAAUAUCCCAAUAAUAAAUAAAAAAAAACCCAACUUAACUACUAUCAAGUCCACUAUUAUCAGGUUUUAAGUUGUUUUGGUUUUGUUUGAAUUUUUUUUUAAUGACUUUAUUUAUUAUGAAUUGGUAAUGCAAUUGAAUAGAAUUUUCAUGGAAUUAUUUGAUCUAAAUAUUUUGAAUUUUGAUUUAAAUAUGUUAAAUAUUUGAUGUUUAAUUGAUAUCACUAUUUUCUGUUAUGUUUAUUUUCUCAAUCUUUUAGAUAUUCUAGUCAAUGUGCAGCAAAUAAUCUAAAAACAUUUUAUUCAAGUAAAAAGGUACUCUGGAUAAGACUGUGCAGCCAAAAAGGUUUCAGCAGCAUGAAACAGUACAAGAAGGAUGAAAAUGGGGAGGAAAAUAAAAGGGCCCUGAAUAAGGAGGAAAAAGAUCAUCUAAGAAAUAUACCUAAAAAGAACCGGUUUGUAGAAGGUUGGAAAUUCCUAGGUUUUUACUCCCCAGGGUCUCUGGGUUUGUUUUCUAUCCUGGAAAUGCACUACUUUCGCACCAAGUUCCCCAUUUCCAUCUUUCCCCUUUACCCAUUUUAAGGGGGAAAAAUAUGUCAUUCAAGGGAAAAGAAUGUGUAACAAAAUUUUCAUUUUCCUCAUCAUCUGAACCCUCUGAAAUCCAAGACAAAAUAUCUGCCUCAAGAUUAUCACAGCAAGUACUUCUCCACAACCGUCCGACCAAACUUCUCUUGAACAUCUUUGGGAGUUUCAAUCUGGAAAAAUGCAAAGAUAACAGUGGUUUGCAAAAAAUUCUGGGCAACAAAAAGGAAUCAGAAAAAUUCAAUCAUACUAGUAUAUAUGGGUUACUUACAGCAUUGAGAGCCUUGAACAGAGCCUUAACUGUGUUAUGGGGAUUCCUUGAACCAAUUACCUACAAGAGAGUUGAGAUUAGAAACAAACUAGAUAUUAGCAACUACCCUUAUAAGAAAGCUUCGACUGGCUGUCAUAAUACCUUGGAUUUGACAUUUUUGAAACCAGCUAAAUUCAAAAUGGUUUGGACAGUUCUGCCUGCUUUCAUGCCUGUGGUAGUUUGUGCAGGCCAGAGAUACACCUAAGAUGAUAUAAAGGUUCAAGGUUAUAUUGAAACAUUUGCAGGAUAAAACAUUUUUGCACAUGAAGGAACGGAAAAUUAGAAGAAAACAGUGAGAUGAUCCAAAACCUUGGUUUUCUUAUAUGUUGUCUGUACUGCAUGAGCAAUCGUAUGCUCCUCAUAUCGUUCAACAUAAUGGAGAUUUUGAAAGCAUUUCUCAUAUGCCUGUUUGUUGUACAGCAUUCAGUAAACAACAGAAAAAACAUUAUGCGAGUAAAAUUACAAGUAUUGAGUAUCAUGGAAGUGUAUCCUUGUAAGAGAAGGAAAAUUUAACAGCAAUGAGAACCUGAUUAUUUGAGGGUUUGACAUAAUCAAAUAAUCAACCUUUCCAUUACAGCAGCACAUCAGAAUUUCACGAGUGAAGACCAGAACUAAAAUUUGAAAAGGGCACUAGAAUGAGGAAGUAUAAAUAUAUUGAUAUGGAAACUUACAGAAAUCUAAAAAGUGUGAGGCCUAAGGCCAAUAAAACUAUAAAAAUAAAAUAAAAAAUGUAAAACAAGCGACCUUGCAAGGGCUAGAUUUGAGAAGAAAUACACGAAGAUAAUCCAGAGAGUUGAGAACCAGAUACUUUUCAUUGCCUCAGAAGCGAUACAGCAUUCAGACUAUCAAAGAACUGGGGUAGGAAAUAAGGAAGAAUUAAUAAAGAGGAGAUGCAAGCCCUUGGAAACAGAUAGUACCCCCAUAUUAAUUUGAAAAUAUUGGAGAGAAUUAAGACAUGUUCAUCUGAAUUUAUAUUUUCUGUAAAACAAAGGAAGAAAAGAAAAGCAAAUAACUGGAGAAACAUACGAAAAAUACAAUUUCCAAGGAAAAAGAAAGAUAGAUACUUAUCAAAAAAAAAAAGAAAAGGAAAGAUAGAUGUUUCAAAAAUUUUAGAGGGAUCAAAAUUAUAAGUAGCAGGGGACCCAAAGAGAGCGAUUGAGAGAACACUGAGACACGUGUCCCAUGUGACAUGGAAUGAACAGGAGCGGGUUGCCUAUCCUGCUGUUAAAGUUUUCAGGCUUUGUAGAAAAGACGUAGGAUUGAACCCACUUUUGUCAACAUCACUAGGUGGGAGAAGAGUGGUCAGGAGAGGGAUAACCCCAUCGUAUAGCUUACAUAUGAAUCCUUGCCUUUGGAUCAAAAGAGAAAACAAACAAAGAAAAAAAAAGCAUGUGACUUGAUCAUAAAAUCAGAAAAUAGUCCCAUGGGUCUUUUAAAAAUGGGAAGAAAGGCGCCAUAUGAGAGUGUGUGUGUAAGGAAGAUAUGAUUAUAUUUAGUCUCAGGAUCAGGAAAACAGACUCACAGGUUUUAAAAAAGCAGAAGAAAGGAGCUAUAAAUGGGUAUAAAGUUCCACCUAUAAUAUGCAAACAAUUAAGAAAUGCUUUCCGGACAACCACAUUUCUUCUUUCACUGAAGUGUACAUAGUCCAAAACAGAAAAUGGUUGAAUCAGUUUGGGUACACAAAUCCAUCCAGAAAAGUCAUGAUAUGUGGAAUGUGAUUUCACAACAAGAGUUGCCUAAAAAUGACAUUGGACUGAUCUGUCCUGUUCCAGGAGUCCAGGGUGAUUCUGCAGGAGAUAUUUUAAAACAUUAAGAAAGGCACAUCGCCCUCUGUUUCUACAGGCCACCAGAUUGUGAAGGCGCAAAAAAUUAAGGCGCUCUAUUUAUAAAUUUACUAGGGCCUAGAUGGACAUUACCUAUGGGCCUAUUCAGAUUAUUAGUAAUGAAGAUCCUCCAAUGCCACAGGUUUGGCCAGAUCUCAAGAUUCAGGCCAUGAUGAUAUGGAAUUUCACAUAAUAUAUCAUACAUCAUCAUAAAUAUUACAUACCAUAUAUAAAAUAUUAUGAACUAUAAGUCAUUAUUUGGAUCAAACUUUUAAUAGGUUGAAUUGACAAAUAACUGACUCUGAUACCAUAGUUACUAUCAAAGAAACCUGAAUUUUCCACAGAUUAUACAUUGAGAUCACAUGCUAAAUCCACCUAAGGAGAUAGUCUUGUAUCAUGAUCUAACUGAUUGAUAGAUAUAGCAGAAUGCAUGAAUGGUAUGGCAAACAACAAUACUAAAAGCUUAUAAAAUAUACCUUCUGGAGGGCAAUUGGAAUUGCUGGGCCUUUUGCUUUUGCAUAACCAACAACACCAUGAUAGUUCCCACAAGCUAAUAUAGCGGUGUACUUGACCACUUGCCCCCCCUGGAGCCAAUAAAAUACAAAUAAAAGCUGUAAAACUUCAGUCUAUGACAAAAGAGAAACUAAAGAAAAGCAGUAAUACCUUUGUAACUUUACAUGUUCGAUUUACAUCAAUCAGCUUCACAUCAAAGCCCUGCCAUUAUUAAUAACAACGUGAGUUAAUAAUAAUAAUAAUAAAUAAAUUUAAAACACAGAGACUGUCGCGUGCCAUGUUGGUAAAGAAGUCGACUGGGGUGAAAACUACAGGCAAAAUGUGAAGUAAUAAAAACAUGAAUUCAUCCAAGAAAAUUGGAAAAAAAAAAUCUUUUGGGAUUAUCCAACCACUUUGCAUAAUGUGCCUGCAUAAGAUACUAAAAUUAGAGGAAAGGGAGUUCCAAAAUAAUAUUUGUUCUUCCAGGAAGCAGAACAUUCGCUUUCCCCAUUAACUAAGAAAAUUCAUGGAACAGGGGCAGGCAGAAUAAGGUGAUUCUAGGGGUUUUUUUGGAGGUUCUUGACAUUUUCUCCCAAGAUAACACCGGGAUACAUACCUCCCUCUUUCUAAGAAUAGCAAUUUCUGAACCCAGUGCUCCUUCAAGAUGUCAAUGGUCUUAAGUCUUAUAACAAUAAGUCAUGCAAAUUCCAAGUCCUCCAUAUAACAUCUGCAUCCCAAAAAAGGGAAAAAUACCGGUACAAAGUCUAAACUGUUGUACCAAAUGAGAAUAAUAAGCCUGAACUCCCAAGCUAUUUGAAGAGCCAAAUCAAUUUGUUUAGAUAAUCUAAAACUUUCAAGUCUGAAUAUACCAUCACCCAAUAUAUAAGGAUUCACCCAAGUUUAAUCUUGAACAAGAGAAAAGUCAUUCUAUGAUUGAACAACUCCAUGGCUGACAGUGAUGUUUUUUUUUUUUUUGAUAAGCAAGCACAAUUCAUUAAAGAGGCUAAAAAAACCCCAACGUAUACAGGACGUAUACCAGGCAACAAAGGCCAAAAACAAACAAAAAACCAAAAAACAAACCACCCCUCAACUGGAGGCAAUCCACUCCAGGAAAUCUAAAAGGGAAUGCGGCUCCUCUUCCAUAUACAAUUUAGCCCAACCCCAAAUAUUACAAACAAAAGAAUAUUUAAACCUCUGAAUUGCUAAGAACCCCCCCCCCCCCCUAAAGGCUAAUCUAUUCCUUUCCUUCCAAACCAUCCAAAAAAUGAAUAACGGAAUGGAAUUCCAGAAUUUUUUCUUUUUUUUCCCCACAAAAGAACCCCCCCAACUAUAUAAAACCUCCUUUACAGUAUUAGGGAACACCCACUUGACCCCAACUAAGCCCAACACUAAAUCCCAAAGCUCUCUAGCCACUGUACAAUGAAUCCAGUGAUGUUGUGACAGUGAUGUUGUUCUAAAAUGAAUCCAGACUAAGUUCAUAGAGUUCUCCAGCAACCAUCAACCAGAAUAGAAGCUUCAUUAUAAAUCAAACCAUGCAGUUUUACAGAAACAAACUGUAAAUGACAAUUGUUCUCCACACCUACAACAGAAUGAAGUUUCUAACCCGUCAGAUCAACUCUCUCCUGGCUAUGAAUCCGGUAAUAAAUUCCAUCGCUACAACAAGCCUCAAGAUCAACUAUAGCCAUAUAGCCUUUAACUUUUGCCCCAGUAUGCAAUAACACAUAAUGAUACCAUAUGCAAAAAUGUCAGGAGGAGGAAGAAGCUCUCCUACAAUGUAACCACUCCAAGUAUAGCUAAUAAGCUAAUAUUUGGAUGAAUAUACUUUUAGCUUGCUCAUCUUGUGGAUUCUAUUUAAGGAUGUCAUAUAUAUAUGCUGCAUGUUAUUCACUGGUCAUGGUUUUCCAUAUCAUCCCUCGUCUUUUUUCAAUAUCCAUCAGUCAACAAAAUCAUGGAAUUAUAUGAAUCAGACCACAGGCAAAAAUACAGGAAAAAGAACAACUAUUUUUAUAGACAAGUAAAAUAAAAUAUUAUAAACAAAGUGCUGAAAAAAAGGGGGCUCAACCCAGUACAUGGGGAGUAUCCAAAGCAUGCCAAAGCCCGCAAAAAGGACAAAAAAGGAACCUGGAUUGAGCCAGGCUCAACUAUCAACAAAAUCUAGUUUAGAAGUACAAGUUUCUCUAGAACCAUUAGUCCAUGCAUGCAACUUCUAAUAAAGAAGUUUUUCAUGGCUAGUUCUAAUUGCUCCACUUCCCCAAACAUCUUUGUAGUUCUCUCUUUCCGAAUUGUCCAAUAUAAACAAAGGAGAGCCAUUUUCCAAAUGCCUCUUACCCACAAAGCUAUCAUGAAAUCCAAGCAUUAAAUCCUAGAUUGUGUGGAGAAGAACCCAGGAAACUCCAAAUAAAACAAAAAUGAGGCUUCACAAGCUAAAAGCCUGCUCACAACGCAACCAAAUGAUCUUAGGAAAUUCUUUACACUUGCAAAGGCAGCACUGAUUGACCAUCGUCCCAAAUAUGUUUCACCAACUGAUCCAUCAUUAUGACUUUUCCAAUGUUACUUCCACAGAGACAGAACCACCUUAGAAUUAACUAGAGUCCCAAAUCUUUUUGGCAGGAAAGUUGUACUCCCAACCCAUCAAAAUCUUAUAGUAGGAUUUCACAUUAAAAAGAAAGAAGGGAAGGGAAGAAGACAGACAAAAAAAAAAGAAAAAAAAAAGAGCUCUUUCUUUGAAGCAUGCCAAAUUAGUUUGUACCCUAGCAACCUCUCUUAUUCACAAUAAAUGAACUCCUAAAACCACGCAUCCAACUCCCUCCAGGAUCAUUCCUUGCCUUCCAACCCAAAAAUUCUCAAGGUAGCUAGAUCAAAGGGAGUCUCUCACCUUUGUAUAAAGUGAGAGACUCUCAUCGGGUCAGUUUAUGGAAAACUACAAGAAAGGAGUGGGAUCUCUUUAACAAAAGAGUGCCCUUUGCAAUGGGUAAUGGGAGCAAAGAGAAGUUCUGGAAAGAUAGAUGGUGUAGUGAGGAGCCUUUAAGUGAGAUUUUCUCAUCCUUGUUUGUGUUAACUGAAUUGAAAAAGGCGUAGUAAGCAUAUUAAUGGGAGCAAAAGGAGGAAGGCAGAGACUAAAACUUCUGUUUUGCAAGGAAUAUGAAUGAUUGGGAGUUGGAUAUCGUAGAGCGUUUCCUAUUUAAAUUCUAAGGACAAUCAAUGAACAAUCAAUGAAUAGGGAGGAGGACGAUAAAGUAGUUUGGAAGGGCAAUAACUGACGAAGGUUCUUUGUAUAAGCCCUUUAUUGGAGUUAGAUUGUACCCUUCUCAUUAGGGAUAAUUUGGAACUCCUAGAUUCCUUCUAAGGUGAGCUUUUUCACUUAGGAGGCUUGUUAGGGUAAGGUAUUGACUUUGGACAAGUUCCAAGGAAGAGGUUGCUCAUCAGUCAACAAGUGUGCUUGAUGCAAAAAGGAGGAAAUCCAUUGAUCAUGUUCUUCUUCAUUGUGAUAAGGCUAGGAUUUAAUGGCAGUUGGCUUUUUCUUUAUUCAGUAUUCCUUGGGUUAUUUCUGGUUAGGUUAGAGAGACUCUUCUAGGGUGGGAUGACUCUUUUGUAGGUAGAAGGCAAAAGAAAGAUUGGAGAGCCGCUCCCUUUUAUAUUUUUGAACUAUUUGGAAGGAAAGAAACCGAAGAUCGUUUGAAAAUGAGAAGAUGUCAAAUCAAUGAGUCAAAAGCAUUUUCCUUAACAAUCUAUCUUUGGGGAUUAAGGUGCACAUAGAUGGAGGCACUAUGCCUCUAAUUGAUUUUAUAGAUUGGCUAGAUUCUUAUUGAGGGAGGGAGUAGUUUUUUGUUUCCUUUUUUCUUUUUUUUCUUUUUUUCUUUUUUUUUUUUGCCUCUUGGCACUCAUUGUAUACGUCUUGUGUACUCUUGUGUGUCAGUUGCACUUUUAAGUACAUUCUUUUAUUUAUCAGAAAAUAAAAAUAAAAAUAAUUGGAGUUUCUCCACUCCAAACAUCCAACCAGAAGAAAAAUCAACUGGAUGAACUUAUUUAGCUAUCAUAUUUAAUGCUACAACCAACUGAAACUGGAUUAUUCUUAUAGAAAGGGGAAAGCACAAGAAUCAAAUAACAUCGAAAGUUCGAAAUUACAAAAAGGCCAUCAGAGAUUAAUCAAUGCUUACAUAACUAACACAGCAAAAGAAAGAAAGAAGCAAUAGAUUAGAAUAUCAUAUGGCCUCAAUGGUUAAAUACUGAUUUUCUUUUAUAAGUGACACUUAACUACAGCUAUUUUUCUCAAAUAGAUAUUUAUCCCUAUUUGGUAAGAACCACACAAAAGAAAGGACAAGAUAUAGCAGAAUGAUAUGUAAUUUUUUUUUUUUUUGAUAUCUAAGCAGAAUGAUAUGUAUACUUACUUUUCUAUAAAGAGGUCUUCUUUUCUUCUCUGUCAAAGAGUUCCUCUCCUCUGCCAGAUCUCGGAUCUCCUCCUCUAGAAGUUUCCCCUUUUUACCAAAUGUAUGAUCCAACUCCGCCAAUUUCUCUUCAAGUUUCUUGUCAAUGGCAUUAAGCUUCUCUAACAAUAUAUCAUCUCUCUCUUUCAUGUCAUCAAACUCACCAUCAUCAUCUUCAUCCAUCUCAGCCCCUUGAAUCAUUUGCUUCUCCUUCUCAAACCCAGCAUGUUCCAGAAGAUCAACAUUGGGUCCCACUUGUUGAUGCUGUAUGUAUCCGUAAUUGGCAGGAUUGUUAGGAUCAUAAGCUUCCUUCCACUCAAUUAACCUUACUGCCCUAUUAAGCUUCUGUUGAAGAAUGAACUUAUCCUUGCCUUCUGCUUCUUUAAGACGGUUCAUCAAUUCACCAAUAACCCUGUAUUCUGGGCGGAGCUGGAGAUGUUUUUGCUCAAACUUGUCGAUUCUAGUCAUCCACUUGAAAGCAUCAUCAAGUGUCUCUGUCAGGAAAUGAGGGGUAAAAGUAUACAUAUUUCAUCAAUGGAAUGUUGAUAACAAAAAAAUGCACUCAUCUCAACUGCAAUACAACUCAUAAGACAAAUUAAAAAAAAAAUAAUAAUAAGGCAAGAAACUUAUUUUUUCUUCCUUUUUUUGUGUUUUCACUAUAAAAUGGGAAUAUAACAUUUCCAAGAAAAUGGUAUACCACCACAUAUAAUACUUACAGAUACAAAUAAACACAGCCUGAAAUUGUGAGAUGUUACCCUCAUAAAUCCUUAUUAUGAAAAUUCCUUUGCUAUAACAUCAGUCAAUGCAUUAGCCUUUUGAAAACAUAGUACCGACUAAAGUCAUCAAGAUACAUACAAUGAAGACCAACUUAAGAAAACACAAAAACACUAGCCUGAACAUUGUUAAAAACAUCAAUGACUAUCUAUAAAUCACCCUCAACUUCAACAUUUCUAAUGCCAAUUUAUUUGAAUAAAAAACCAUUAUGAAAAGUCAUGCAUUGCACCACUAAAUCAGAAGCAUUGCCAAGAAAAGGUGGUUCCCAUGAAUCCACAUCCAUUGUUCAUUUAUUGAUAAAUUUGUCAUCAGGUAUCUUCCCGCUUUAGUUUCUGUGCAUUUUGAUUCAGUUAUUUGACAACAUAUGAACAAAGCAUUUUUCCCAGGUUUCAGGUUACAUAUGUUAAUAGGUUCUGACCAUCAUGAAGGAUGUAUGCAGUUAUUGAAUCAAAACUAGAGAGUUUCUACAUUUCCUUCAAACUGAAGUCCUUCUGCCUUUGUUAGUUACCUCUGAACUUUGUCAUAAUCAAGCUGAGGAGACUAAUUGUGAAAUGCUAUUCUUUCCUGGAUUUGAGUUAGUAAAGACACAACCUAGUUCACUUGUUUCUAAUGAUCACAAAAACAUGUAAUAGAUGAGUCUCUGAACUGGAAUCUUCGUUUCUCUAUGUCAGAAAUUCUGCUGCAUCUUACCAUUUCCGUUACCAUAGCUAUCAGCAAACUGCUCAGCGGGAAAUUAUUGCUCUUCAAGGUUUUACACUGGUAUCAACAUACUGCAUAUACUUCAUAGUUUUUAAAGUUUUGAAACAAAAGUCAAACGAUUUAGUCGUAUUAAAUCAUUAGCUAUUUGAUAAAGAGAUAAGAUUUUGAGCAUCUGAAUAAAGAAAAAACUCUUUAACAACUCUUUGUAUGGUUGCAGAGAAAAAGACGGAAAACAGAAAGACACAAACUUCACAAAAUAUUUCAAAAAUUAGAAGAUUACCGGCCUCAGCGAAGUUAUUGAGUAGCUCCCCAUGCCUCUUGAACUUCUUCUCAAACACCUCCGCGCGCUUCUUGACGGCCUCGGUGGUGAACCUCUCGUCAUCCUCGUCGCUGUCGGAAUCGGUACGCUCUUCGUACAUGUUGAGAUCGCCGCUACUCUUCAGCUUCUCCUUCUCAAGCUUCUCGAUCAAUGGGCCAACGCCCAUGUAGUCCUCUUCGUCUUCAUCCUCAAUCUCCUUCACAUCGAGGCCCGCUCUUUUCCUCUGCUCUUUCUCCCUCUGCUUUUCGCGCUCUACUUCAGCGAGAAGCUCUUGCACUGUUCGAGCCGAUGAGAAGAAUCGACUGGUUCCAGGAAACGGAAAAUGGGGUGUUUGGGCGGUAGGAAAGUGAGGGAAAGUGGAGAGUGGUUUGAUAGGGGGUUUCUUGAAGAUGAUUUUACUAAAAAUGAGACGAGAGAUUGAAGAUGCUGCGGCUUGUGAUUUGAUCGCCAUUGUUACGGAAUCAUUGAAGAAAAGCCAGCACGCAGUGAGGAUCGUAGAGAUGAAAGAGUAGGGUUGAUUCACUGAGGAAAUGGGCGACAGAAGUAAUGGGCCGAUCUCCGGCCGAGAACUGGCGGCCCAAGGUAGCCCAAAAAGUCUUGGGUCUAUCGCCCAAAUGGGCUUCAGCGGAUUGACUUUUGCUGGGCCUCUGUUUCUUCUUAUAAAAAGAAAGAGAGAAUUCUCUCUAGUAGGGUGUAUAUUACGAUUUUGUAAAACUAUUUCAUUUAUAAAAAAUUAAUUAUUAGUUCAGGGUCACAUUGUAAAACUAUUUAUUUUAAUGACAAUUAAUUUUAAUUAAUUUUCAUAUAUUUAUGGUAUGGGCUAGAUCAUAUUAAUUUGACUUGUCUCCCCUGGCGUUUCUAUGAUAUUUUGUCUUGCACUUUUAAUAGGGGAAAAAUAAAAUUUUUUAGCAUUACAUAUGUUGCAAACUUCUUUUAACCAUAUAGUCGUGUUUUAAGUCGUAAAAACUUAUUAGUCUCUAAACAGACAAUAUCUAUAUGGAAGGAAAUGAGUUUAUGAAUGACAUCAAAACCGUGAUAGACACGGUUUAAUCAUGUCAUGGUUUCUAACAUUAUAUAAGUAACAAGUUUCUUAUAAUUAUAUAGAGACGCAUUUUAAAACCGCGGUGGGAUUCUUUUAAUCAUAUUGAAGACUUUUAAAGUCACAAAGGCCUAGUUUCACAACUUCUUUUAUAAGGCUGCAAUGAGCCAUUGGACCAAGAAUGACUAAUAUUAAAUCUUGGUAUCAAGUAUGAUAUGAAGUUAUCAUGUCAUGAUAUUGGCCUGAUAGCAGUGGCUCCAUCAUUUGAAAACAAAACAAAAACAAAAUGAGUUGGAAUCUGUCCGCCAAUAAAUUUUUUGUCCAAUUGGUUGUGUUUUUGCGAGGCCAGCUAGAGAGAGUACAAAGGCAAGAUGCAACAUGUCAGUUGGGAUUCCCUUUCAAGGACAAAGCUGGGUCCAUCCGCUAACAUUUUUCAGUAUGAAUAUAUGGAGUUGUGCUUCCACUAUUGCAGAUGAGGAUGGAAAUAACCCAAGUAGGAGAUAAUGGAAACACAAGCUAAAUCAUGGGGCCAUGAGAUAGGGCUGAAAUGUGACCCCCCAAGCAAAACAAGACGUUAAUUGAAACAAGCUGAAUCUCAUGAAAUCCUUCUCCAAUCUUCUUCUCUCACAAAUACACUGACAUUCUUAUCAAAUAAAGGGCAUGAAACAGAGUAUCUUAUUUAUGUACUACUUCAUAAGUCUCAGACAAAUUCUCAUGAUUGAAGGAUGCAAUGCACAACAUGUACAUGGAGGAAGCAGCAUCCCUCCCUCUCCUCUUUUAUUACAAAGUAUAGCUGUUGACUCCCUUUACAUAAAAACCAGCAUGUACGAAGGAUCAAGCUUGAAGUUCAACAAAUGUGAUGGCAUUUACAGUAAAACUUUUUCGACUCAUGGUUGCAUGAUAUGGAAUGGGCUUGUAUACAAUUACAGCUUACCCGUUAUAUAACUUAUAACCCAAAUAAAGCAAAAGACAAAAGAGCAAUGAACGAGGCAGCCAAAGCAAUUGUGCAAAUGGGCUUCAGAAUUAGCGCUUGCGUUUCUAACUUUCUGGUACUGGAGCCAACAGUUUCUGAAACAAGAGAAGGAAAUGGAUGUGAAUCUCAGUUUCCUCAUUGAUAUAAACAAUUUGGGGAAAGGGUAUAUAGAAUUACCUCAGAAAACCGCAAAUGCCCUUUAUGCGCAUUAGAAGUUUUGACAAUUGUUUCCCACUUGGGAUCAGGGGAUGAUGUCUUGGAAGCUUGGUUUCUGGGGCUAGUCCAAGUGGCAAAAUGUGAUUGGGAGUUCCUUGAUGAUGCAGAAGGCAAUGUACGCGAGAGCCAAGACUCGGAGGGAGAUUUUGGUAAAGGUGGAGGAAGAGGAAGUUCUGAGUGGCUAUCAUGAAAUUUUUCUAGACUAUCUGCUUCUGAAGGCCGAUGGUUUUCAUCAUCCAGAUUCCUAUUGUCAAGCACUUCUGGGCUAUCCAAGGUCAUGGAAUCCAGAAUAGGAUCUGAGCUACUGAAUCCUUUCCUCUGGUCCAUCUGGACUUCCUGAUCUGAUUUGACACAGGAAAACAGUAGAUUAGAACCCAUAGAGUCCAAAAUUUUUGGCUGUGACUUGCCUUCUUCAUCUGCAAUGCUUAAGUGCUUGAUAUCUUGAAGAGAAGACUCCAUUGAAGGGGUACUAGAUUUUCCAAGAAUCUCAAAAUCACUCCUGGUGUCACUCAGCCCCUUCAUAUCUGAACGGCUGGAAUUAGAAUUCCGAGGUUCUACAAUAUGUACAGAAUCUAUGUACAGAGUUUUCUCAACUGUAGGGCUUUCCAAACCUGAUUCCCGUUGAGGGCUACUAGCCAAUAAUUCCCGGAAGAUUUUUUGGCCCUGUUGAUGUGAACCAAAGCCAUCAACCCCCAAGCUCAUAGGUGCUUCAUGAAUGCCAUGAAAUCCUUUUUCUUCAUUAAAGUGGGAUAGCAGUGAGUCACUCCGGUAGGGCAACAUGCCACCUCCCUGCAAACGCAUGUACAGGGAUGACCCAUCUGGUUUCUGAGAAUCACUCUUGUAAUUAGUUUUACUGCUUUCAUUUUCUUCCUUUCUCUUAAGUUCCUGCAGCUUACUUCUUUGGAGUCCACCUGAUUUUUUCUCAUUAACGACAUUUCUAGAGUGCUGUAGAGAUUUAGGUUGUUUUUCAGAAAAAGAAUUAUUAAAAAAACACUAAUCAUCAGUAAAGAACUUCAGUAGAUGACAACUAUGCUAUUGACAGAAAGGAAAAGAUAGUGUACCUUAUUUUCAGUUAGAGUACUAGCAUCACUAUAUGAGAAUCUAGCUCUUGUAGCACGGAGAGAGGAGGCAGGUACCCGGGCCUGAACUCCCAUUCUUAGUACUGGAUUCAUAAGGCAGAAGGAAUUCUUCAAGCCAAACCGAGGAAAUAACCCACAAACUUUGGCAGACAAAAGUUCAGUUUCAACAUAGUUAUCUUCAUCUUCACUCUCUUCUCUACCUUUAUCUUGAGCAUAAUGUGAUGAAACAUUUAGCCUAUAUUGAUAAAGUGGAGGCCGCCUAUCCCCGCUUACUACAUUUUUUACCUGUCUUGGUUGUGCCUGUGCCACAGGUUGCCUCUGUGCCACAGGUUGCCUCCUAGAGGCAUAUGGAGGGGUUUCUGAAGCCAUUGCCUUGGCCGCUGGCAAGAAUCGACCCAUCAUGAAAUCCCGGGUCUGUGGAUCUGUUGAAAAUGUUCCAGAGGGCUUGACAUCUGGACCAUCCAAUCCACUCAAACCACUUACACUACAGUUCAAGAAGAAAGAUUCAGACCGGGAAAGUGUAUCCAGUGCAUCUAAAUAGGCUACAUCACCAUCCUCUGAACCAGAACUCCCUUUAUCCUCAACUCCCUCUUUAAAGUUCUCAAGUUUAGUAACAUUUUCAUCCAAAGAAGAAACAUUUCGAGAGUUAGAAAGGAUAUUUGCUGUUUGGGUCCCAGCAACAAUUGGAUCCUUAGAAACUUUAUCAGGAGGUCGCUGUUUAGUAUUCAAAAUCCUACCAGGUGGAAGCUUUGGGGUGGUGGGAGGGAUCUGUGGUUUGCUUUCAUCCUUGGGUCUUCCUGGAGUCUGCUCCCAUAUAAAAGGAACAGCUCCAGGAUUCCUCACUGGACCUGAUUUCAACUCUGAUUUGUAGGUAGGAAGAGGAAGUAUAUUGGAAAGGGAACUAUCAUUCUUCCUUUUGCUCUCAACUUCUGUGGAAGCCACUGUUGAUGAGAAUCUCCGAACAGAUAAAAGUGGUUGAUUAAAAUUCAAUUGCUUGUCUUCCAUCGGAUUAUUCAACAGCAUUAACUAACUUGUUCCUGCAAAACAUCAAUUCAAACUGAAACCAACUGGGCAUAUCGAGAAAAGACAAAGUGAUACCCAAAGCCAUAAUCUACAGAAUGUUACAAAUUACAGUUCUAUGCUAUUGCCGACACCCAGAAAAUGUAGAAUCUGAAAAAAUUGAAUCAUGUUUAAAAAAAAUUCCCAAGGCACUCUAAAAACCCAACUUUUCAACUAAAAUUAGGAUUAAUAUGAAAGAUAUAACCAAAAAAUGCUGCCCAUUUAUUCAAGACCACAAUAAAUUGAUCUAAACAUGGCAUGAAUGAGAAAAUCCUGAGUCUGAUUCACAUAUGGAAUGAGGUGAAGAAAACAUCACAAGGUUUAUAGUCUAAGAUUACUUUGAAUUUCUUUUCAAUCUCGUAUUGGAAAACCAAGUUUUUAUUGAGCAAAGAAGUGUUAUGAUGUCCUACAAAAAUUGAAUAAAUACCUUGAGAUAUACAGAAGAUUCUAAAAGAAUCAAUUGAGGUUCCAACGAUUUUUCCUGGUACUCAUUUCACAUGGGUGGCACCGUUUUAAUUUCAUACUUUCAUGGUGAUUUGGAUGCUGAACAGAAUUUGACUGGCUCUAUCCUUACUUUGCAUAACUAGUGAAGGUAAAACCACUCCGGAUGGGAACAUUAAAGAAAAUCGGAGAGAUUACCACAAAAGGAGUUCAAGAAACAAUUUUAAAUCUCCUUGAAGUGAUACAUUCACCACUUCAUCAUCACAAUUUUAAAUUUCAUUGUGGUGAAUUUCUCCUUUCAAAUGCCAUCCAAAAGUAGAAUGGAACCAUUCAAUUUCCAUGGAAGAUCCAAAUUCCAAACAAAACCCGCAAUAAACUACCUUACCCAUUUCACUUUAGUAGUCCCGUUCCAUCUUAAUCUACCAAUCAGUAUCCAAAUCCAAUCAAUCCCCCCUUCAUUCAGUUCCAGUCUUGAUUCCAAAUUUUCU